CUAGCUGCUGGAUCCACCCGACACCCAAUGAGUCAGCACUCAAAGACUUGAGGCGGAGCCUGCAAAUUAAAUAAACUAGCUGUCUAACUGUUUUUUUGAGAGGAUUAGCAGCAGUACUACUCUAACUCAAUUUUUUUUUUGUGUCUGUGGCAUUAUUCUGCUUUCCCGAUGGGCUCAAUAGCCAUAGAUUGAGGGUAAGAUGAUACUGUCAAAAUAAAUAGACGGGUAAUCUCUUCCCUCGCCUUAUCCCUUGCUACAGUACUUCGCGAGCGAAAAGGGGGCGACUGCGAGACGGACUUUCUCCGGCGCGAUUCCGCCGGCUCUUUCCUCUUCGGCGGCCGGUGCGGCGACGGUGAGGGGGGUCGCCUGGCGGAAUCGACGUCCGGCUGUGUAUAGGGUAGGUAGGGUGUAUCUACGUCUAGGGUUUGUUCGCCGUCGGCCAUGACGGCGGAGCUUAGGUUUCCGGCGAUGGUGGUGUUGCUAUCCCGGCGAUUAAAGAUCCUGCAGGACCUCUCCGACGGUGAUGGCGUCGGCGUUCCCCUCGGUGAGGUGGCUGCGAGUGGUUUUUGUCUUCUCUUCUUCGCCUCUUUUGGUCCGGGGGCUCUCUUCGUCGGCGUUGGCGUGGCUAGCGGCUUCGGAGGACCUCCAAUCCCCGGCGGCGAAGGUAUGAGAGUUCUGUUCUGUUCUCGUGCGAAGGGGAUGGAUCUUAUGCGCUCCCCCAGGAGCUGCUUUUUCCGGGCCGGUGGCUUCGGCGUCGGCGGUGGAACUCCUGUUGGGUUGUCGUUUCCAGGCGGAAAUGAGAGCGCCAGCUCCUGCUCUGGCUGGCCGGGUCUGCGGUGGCUGGAGGACUUGACUCCUCUUCGUUCGUUUUCGUUGGUAAGAUUGUCGAUUCUCGUUCAGCGACUGAAAUCCAUCUUGGAUGGAGCUCCGGGGUGGUGGGUUAUGCGACUCAACCAAGGCUUGGGAUCUUCUGGCGGAGGAACGGGAGUUCUGGACAUCGCCGGCGCUGCUUCUGCUCAGCAAGUUGGAGCUGUGGAUCUAUCUGUAAUUUCUCUUUUCUUUGGGGUCUUGUUUGUAAAAGGGGAUGUACUGUGCUCCAGUUUUCGCAAAAUAAAUAAAUAAAUAAACAGACAGGUGGCUACCAGGCUGCAAAUAGAAUUAAGUGACAGGCUAGACCAUUUUCACGUAUGUUUAUCUACUAAUCGGAUGGCUCCAAAGAUAUUUAUAGUUUCAUCGAUAGACCAAGUGUAAUUUGCAGCACACAAAGUCAUAUUACUGCCCCUCCUUACCUUCUCUUUGCUACCUCCCGUUCUAAAUUAUAGAUUAUUUUAAUUUUUCUAAAUUUUGCUAUAUAUCUAAAUAUAAUUUAUAUAAAUUUAUGGAAUAACUAUGUAGAAAAAUUAAAAUAAUCUAUAAUUUAGAACGAAGGGAACAAUAAUUAUGUGGAGCUAACAAAAUGACGUCUCUAGUGCAGUGAAGAAGGAAACAAGUGUAGAUAUAUAUGGUGAUGGAUUAGGAGAGAAACUAAGAAAUUGUUGUAUUGACAAGAUCGUGGAUUGCUCUCUUUCAAAAGUCCAAUCAGGUAUGGGAAAAGAUAUAUGAUGCUACAGUAAGUUGGAGGGGUAGUGUGAUCAUGAGACCAAGGUAGUGAGGACAUGCAUCAUCGGCUGGCUUAUAUAUUGAUGAGGACGACCAAUGGCAUGCGUGUAACAUCAUCCGUGCUUUUUUUGGACAAAUCUGUUAGACGUAUUUGUGUAUGACUUUGUAGCCAUGUUGUACUUGUCCAGAUCAUUAUAUACCUGCACAUGUUUUAUGAUCUCAUUGGUCAUAGCAAUUGUAUUCCUCCAAUUCAAUCUAGCAUGGUAUGAAAAUCCUUAACUUUGCAACUCAGACCCCUCUCCCCCCUCCCCUGUCAUUCUCCUGGCGACUCGGGGGGGGCGUCCGUCGCGCCGCCUCCCGGCCCCCCAGACCAUCUCCAGUGGCCGGCGGCGGCGGCGGCGACCUGCGGUCGAGGUGAAGCUAGCUCUGUCCGCCUCUUCUCCCCUCCCUUCUCUCUCCCUACGCCUCCACUCUUCUCUCUCCCUACGCCUCCACUCCCCCGACCUUCUUACCUAGUCGCGGAAGCUCCACCGCUGGCCGUUGGGGCGGAUCUGGCCUCCUCCUUGCCGGAUUCGGGGUCCGCCUGGCCGGAUCUGGAUGUCCCCGGCCGGUGUCGCCGCCCUGCCCACCCUCCCCCACUCUCUGGUCGGCCCUACUUCUCGUCGCGGGGGUGGGCUUCAGUGGCGCGGGAGGCUGUAGAGGCCGCGGCCAUGCCGGUGCUCGCGUUGCGGGUGGUUGCGACCUGUGCUGGCGCUCGCCCCGUAGGUGGCCGCGUUCCACGGCCUUGUUGUUGCCCUCAUCCCGCAGUGAGCCCGUGGGUGCGGGCCUGCGCCGUUCGCUGUUGCUCUCGCCCCGCGGUGGGGGCUGGAGGCUGCUUCGCCUCGGGUCACCAGGGGCUGUUGGUCUGCGGUGGCGCGGGGCGCGGCCAUGCCUACGCUCGCCCCGCGGGCGGCCUCGGGAAUGUAGUCAUGCUGCCUUGCUUGCCCAUCGUGGGCCUGUGGGUGUGAUGCCGCGCCGUUCGCCGUUGCUUUUGCCCUGCGGUGGGUCUGGAGGCUGCUUCGCCUCAGGUCAUCGGGCGCCGCCGGUCUGUGGUGGUGCGUUGGGGGCUGGGGCCGGCUUCGCCUUGGUGGCCGGCCUUCGGCGCGCCUGGGCGGUCUACUGCUGCCUCCGCUAGCCGCCCCUGCCACUGGCCCUUUCUUCGGCUAAUGGGAGGGAACGGGGUGACGGCGAAAGUCUUGGACCCGCUUGCAGGCCAAUGAUGGCAACGCCCUCGGGCGCCGUUUACCUUCUUGAAGGCGUCAUUCUUCCCCUUGUUCUCUUCUUUCCGGUAUGCUUUCCGGGUGAAAGCCUUGACCAUGUUGGUUGAACGAUGAUGGCGCUUGUGGUGUCGCCCCCUUGCUUGAGGCAUUGUUUUGGUCGAACGAUGACAGCGCCUGUGGUGUCGCCCCUCCCUUGAGGCGUUGUUUUGGAAGGUCUGCUGGUUGUCGAUGCUGUUGCUUGUGGCCUCUCUCGCUUGUCCUGGCGGUGGUCGUCUGCUCUUCACUUCUACGCCUGCCUUCGCUUUGUUUCAUCCACCAUGGUCCGGGGUGCAUAGGUUGUCGUCUAGGGGAUGCUUUGCCGCCGAUUCCUUGCUUGCUCUGGCGAAUGCUUUGCCGCCGCCGUCGCAUUGGUUGGUGAUCGCUUCAGGUGGAUGCUUGGCCGCCUUGGUUGUAAUGGUCGGUGGAUGCUUUGCCACCUUUAUUGUGUUAUAGACUUCUUGUAUCCUUGAUUAUGUUGUAUCUUUUAGCAGGCGUAGAGGUGUGGCCAUGUCUAGGUUCAUCGGUUUGUGUGUAUUCCCUCCCUAUUGUUCUUGCUGUUCUUGUUCGGUGUUGGGGUCGUCUGCCACUUGCUUGAUGGUGCUCUGUAAUUGCUCUAAUAACCUCUGCCUAUUAAGGUUUAUGAUGAUCGACCUGCUCAGUCACGUUCACGGAAAAAAAUCCUUGACUUUGCAACAUUCCUCCCUCUCCAUCUGACCAUCACGAAAUAAACGAUUAAGCAGGAGGAGCCCUUCCUUUAGAAGAUUCGAUACCGGGUCCAAGUGAUGUCUGAUGUUGCAAAUAAGCUUGGGACCUGUCUGGAAUCAGCAUAUUCUUCGGCAUGAAAAGCACAUAAAUUUAUGUUUGCUUGCCAAAAUAAAUUAUCCACGUAAAAGUCCGGAUGGAUUGCUUUGCCUCUGAUAUUGCAUUUCUGUCCUCCUCCUUCUAAAGCAAAGUCCAAAAUCUUAUCCAGUGUGUCACCCUGAAAAAGAUCUGCAAAUAAAGUUAUAGGUUCACUUUAUCAAAAACAAUGUUAUUUCUAUUUAGCCACACGGCCCAACAAACAUCACUUAACGUCUGUAAGUAUUAAAUUUUUUUCCUUCCAUCUAAUCCCCUGUAACCAAGUCUUAAACAAAUGAUGAAUGACAUUGUUAGGUUUUUUAAACCAAAGGUAGUAUGAAUUAUUCUCCAAAUUAAUCUACCCAUGUGACACUAAAAAAAGAUGUUGUAUAGUUUUAUUAUUACUACAUUAGUAAUAUUUCUCAUUCCCAUACCAGUUUCGUCAAGCUAGAUUAUCUUUAGUUAGAAUAACCUCUUGAUGAAGGAACCAUAGAAAGACUUUUACUUUUAAGGGGAGUUUUAGUUUCCACAAAAUUUGUUAAUUGGAAUGACUUCCUCCUUUAGGAUCUCUUUAUACAUCGACUGAAUAGAGAAGAUUCCAUUUUUUUUAGGAACCAUAAGAACAUGUCUGGUUGAUCCACAAGUUGAACACCUACUACCUUUGUUACCAACUCAUGCCAAUUCAUAAGAUUGUUUCCCCUUAGAGCCCUCCUCGAAGAAAUAUUAAGAGGAGCCGAAGACAUGACCUUUUUAACUGUAUCAUGCUUCCUAAUUACUAGAUUGUAAAGUGUUGGGUAUUGGUUUUUAAGACUAGUGUUUCCUAGCCAAUUGUCUUCCCAUGAUAUGAUUUGCUCCCUAUUUUGAAGUUUAAAUAUUCCGCAGCUAAGCAAAUUAUUUUUGACCUCCAUUAACCUAGACCAGAAAUAUGAAUCCCCUAUUUUUUUUCUGUACGUAUGCAAACGUUUUGGAGCCUACGUAUUUCCUUUGAAGAGUUUAUUGCCAGAUUUCAUCUUUAUUAAUAAGCUUGAAAAGCUAUUUACUUAAGAGACUUUUAUUCCACACUUCUAAAUCUAAAGUUCCUAGACCCCUUAAUCUCUCGAUCUACACACAAUAUUCAAUUUUGUUAAUUUAUAUUUUCUUUUGUGUUCAUCCCCUUGCCAAAAGAAUCUAGACCUGACAUAAUCUAAUUUUUUAAAAACUUCUUUGAGGAUUACUCUUUUUGGGGAUUACUCAGCGGACGCGUACCCAGCAGCCUCUGCGCUACAGCGAUUACUCUAUUCCGUCGACCGACCUGCUGGAUCCGAGACGAGACGAGACGGCGGCGAUCGGUGUCGGCCGGGGCGUCGCCGCGGCGCCGGGCAGCUCGCAUCUCGACGGCGAGAAAAGAUUCUACAGCUGGAAGCCUGGCCUGGUCCGUGUCAGUCUCUGUUCGUGCCGACGGAGGAACAGGCGCCAUCCACUGUUCUCUGCUCACGUUUGCUGAUGCGCCUCUGUGCUUACUGGAUGUCAGCCAACAAAAGUGCCGGAUAUAAUUAAUACGGAUUAUUGAUCCACAUUUAUAAAUAUGCGCACGCGACUCUAUCGAUGGUGUUGUUUUCUACAGAAAAAUAGCGCCGAUUAAUUUUUAAAAUAAAUACGGAAAAAAUAGUGCCAAGUCGAGAAUUCGAAUCCGGAUUGGCAGGUUCCACGUAAGAAAUCAUUCAUUAGUUUUCAAUCUUGUCAAUUUUUUUUCUCAGACUAGGUGGCAAUUCCAAAAUUUAGUUGAAAAGAUUGACAUAUAAGUUCAGUUUACCUAAACGCACAACUGAUAAAACAUUGAUCGAGUUGAAACAAUUCUAUUGGAUCGAAACUUUUGAAGUUUAGAAACUUAAUCGUUCUACUCUUCUCUUUUUGCGAGGAAAAUUGUUCUACACUUAGAUUUAUUAUUUAUGGGAAUAUUUCUUAGAGUGAAGUUGCUAAGGAGAAGGAACAAUGCAAAGAAAGAAAGAAUGAUUAUAAACGACUUUGCCCACACUAGUAAGGUGUUAAAAUUAUUUGAUGUGUCUUUUAAUAGGAGCCAGAGGAUAAAAUAGCCCCAUACGUCGCAACAUGCUAGGAAUCAGAUUCUCUAUGAUACAUUUGACUGAUGCCUCUCCUCAAAAUUCUAGCGAGAACAGCGCCACCAGAAUUUAAUUAGUUGUCUUUUCUCUAGUGAAAAUAAAGCAAAAGGUGGACUAGUCAAGGGAGCCAACGUUCGCCUAUAUUAAGGCAGGCACAGAUCAAAACUGCACAUGUGCUGGUCGUCUAAUUUGGUUGUGUCUUGUGUGUGUAGCUUAUUGUUUCCCUAUGGGUUGAACGGCCACACAGAUGAUCGCUACAUACUGUGAAAAUAAGUAGGGCGGUUGGCUGGAUGCAUAGAUGGGCUACAAAUACAAGGAAAAAAGGCAGGCCGCUAGAUCAUUGUCACAUAAUUUUAUCUAGUCGGAUGGCUCCAAAUUAAAGAGAUCUAUAGUUUUAUAAAAUAACAGGGUCAAACGUAAUUUGUAGCAUACUGGGGGGCUACCUUCCCAGCUUCCUCUCUCCUCUUCGCUAUUAGUUGUGGAGCUAAUAGUAGUGUCUCUAGUGACAACUGAGGAGACAAAUAAGCAUGCAUGGCGAGGAGCUCUCGCUCAUCACCAAAACCCUCGACUUUGCAGCAGCUGACGGUAUGAGUUCUUUUUUUUUUAAGGAAAGACGGUAUGAGCUCUCGCUCUCUCCAUCAGAGCAUCAUAAUUAAAGUAAAUGAUUGAGCAGGAGCAAGGUCCCAGUGUCUGGUGUUGCAAAGCUUCGGACCUGUUUGGAACGAACGCAGAAACUUGACAUAAAUGGUGAUUCAAUACAAAUACUGUUCCGGCAAGACUCACAAAAAAGUUAGUACCACUCUCCAAAUGGAAGCUGAAGCUGCAGCGCUGCUGUUGAAACUCAUGUUUGAACCAAUAUAUCCCAUCACCUCUUUCUUCUAUGUAGAAAUUUGUUACCUUAGAGGUAGUGGUCCAAAUGAUGCAAGCGUCGUCAAUUGCAAAAGCAGCAAAACCAAAAGAUUUCGAACGUUUCCAUGGUUGAUCCGGAUUUGCCGGUGGAAUCAGCAUAUUAAUUAUUCGGCAAAAUCCUUUGGAACUUAACAGCAAGUUGAAGUUUUCAUUUCGCACGCACUAGUUUAUUUGCAGAGACGCAUGAUAAGUGCGGUUCUUUAUCUUGACAAGCAAACACACCUAAAAAGCUUUGUCUUUACUGUCAACAGUGCGAAUUAGAUUUCUGAAAGAACUCUUACUGAUUCGUCUGACGACCAUAAAGAUUGUGGAUAUUGCUACCUACUUGGUCCCGCCACAGAACUGAAAAAACUCGACCAAACAAAUAACAUAUCAGUUCGGUUUCAAAAAAAGCAAAUAACGUAUCAAUUGACAAGUUGCAGUUAGGUACACGCACUUCUAUCGUGUGGAUUGACAUGGCUACUUCCACACGACGGUAGACAUUGUUGGAAUAUUUGGGUCCACAGGUGCAAAGGCCCACUAUGUAAAUCUAAAUAAUUUCAAAGCCCAUUAGUGCAAAGGUGCAUGGCAAUAAUUUAGUCCCACCUUGCUAGUGGAGGUGGAGGAAAUCCAACUUAAAUAGUUGGAUGUCUCCAUGCUCUUGCAAGUGUGGGUGAGAGGAAGAAGGAAAAACGCGCGCGCUCGCCUCGCCGGGCCGGGCUUCAGGCGAAGGGCGCGCGAUGUGCGCAUGAUCGGCUCAUCGGGUGACCCUCGGAACAUUCAACCCGUUUGAAGGGUCUAACCAUGCGGAUAUUAAGCUAAUCAAAGACCAACCAAGCAAGGUGCUACCCUCGCACAAACGAUUCAAAGACCAACCAAGCAAGGUGCUGCCCUUGCACCGGAGAUCAAGCACAAGGUUCACGGGUAACAAACGAUGCAUGAAUGCAGCAUAAAAGAGCCGAUGCUACCCUGUAAACGCUUACUUGCCAUCAACAACGCUUCAGCAUCGUUCUUCUUUUUCAAUAUCCCAGGAUACAUAUUUAUAGUCCGGAGACUUGCCUCUCCUAACUAAUCCUAACUGACUACGACACGAAUCCUGGCUAUCCCUAUCUCAACUAAUUUAAACGCACACACCUAUCUAGAUACACAGCCAAUCUUGGCCUUAAACCGCCCGCGUAGGAGCCGAUUCGCAAGCCUAUUACAAUUAUCCUUCAAGCCCUUGUUGCUCGCGGCCCACCUUUUGGCCUAGCCAAAUUAUGGCGAUAACACAUGCCCCUGGUUUCGGCAAUAAUGAUUCCAAAACCAUUCUUUUCCUUUUCAUCGCCUCGCCUAUUCGACUUCCAAAAAUCCGUACACGCGCGCCACUUCCAUUUCCACGGGAUGUGACUACUCUGCAUCUAACUCCUUGGAAUCCGUCACGGUGCCGAUUCAUAUGCCACUCCUGCCUUUAUAAGCUUGCUCCUGUUAGAUUUCUUUUUCACUCAUCUUCCUCCUUCAGCCAUUAGCAACCGCACUAAUACAACCUGCCUCCUCUCGCAAUGGCUUCUUCUUCUUCUUCUACUUCCUCCGUCAUUUCCUUCGAAUCUGAGUUCACUCGAGAAGCAACUCUAGAGUAUGACUCUAUCGCCACCUACGAGGCCUGCGCUCCUCUGCAUUGGGAUGCAGAGGAGUGGGACUUCCAGACUUGAUCAGAGGAUGAUGAACCCCUGACCGAUGGUGAAGAUCUCGAGCUCCUCCUCGGCGGGGAGCUUGAUGAAGACGACGAGGAAAACAUGUCCUGGGAGGGAGGCUUCUUCUCCUCGGAGGAAGAAGUCGAUACCUCAUCAACCGAAGAGGACUCGGUGGCAGGAGGCUUCCUGCUUGGCGGGUCGUCGGAGGACGACAAUGAUGAUGACGAUGAAGAGGCCGAAGACAGCAGCAGCUACAGCAGCGAUAGCGGCGGAGACGAUGGCGGUAGCGACGACGAUAGCAGCAGCGCCAACGCGACUCCUCCGAUCAAGCGCCACAAAGUCUCAGGCACCUACUGGUGGUAGAUCGUAGGAUCAAGCCAAUAGAUUGGCUCUAGGAGCAAUCGGCUCCCCCUUUUGUAAUAAUUUCCCCUUAUGAAUAAAGUCCUUUCAUUUUUAAUCUGUAACUCAUCAAGAAGUCGAUUUCCCAAGAGCCGAUGGCAAUGCGUCGGCCCUUCUCCUCAAAGUACCGAUCCGGAUCUGAGUUGAUCCCUUAAGCGAUUUUAUUCUCUGCUUAAAUCUGGAACCCUCCAAAAAGCAGAUCUACAUAGAUCCCCUGAAUCCAAGUUGCGUUCCAAAACCCUUGCCCACACAUCCGAUCGCAAAACCAGAUUAAGGCCCCCCGAGCACGAACCCGAGACUCGCAAAGCAAACCCUAGAUCCAUUCUCGAACCCUCGAUCACCAUUGGAGCUUCAGAUGGCGGAAUCCUCGAAUGCCGAUGCGGGCGUCCUCGGUCUGAAGGUAAAACUCUGACCUUUCUCCAGUUUAAUGAAGUAAUUAUUUGAACCCUUGGAGCAUUAAAUGAUCUUUUCCUGUUAUUUGGCUCUUAUCGAUUCUUCAGGUUUCAGAUAUUCUUUUGCCGCAUCCUUCUUCCCCCAAUUCUUUUUGUCUCGGGCCUCGUUCUUAUGAGCGUCUGAUAGAUCUGAUUUCUUGUGAGGCCAAUCGAAUCCCGUUCGUAAGACAAAACAUACACUUAGAUUCCUGGGCUGAAAGCCUACGUGCCUGGCCAAAUCCUCCCGAGGGCUGGGUAUCCUGGUACAAUAGAGUAGCCAAAACUACCAACGCAUAUGGGAAACUAUAGGAAUAGCUAACGCUCUAUCUCUGUCGCUGUCCCCCCUCGAGAAGAACGAGAAUCUUCUAAAAACGAUCGGCUAUUUCUGGUCUGAUGCCUUGAACUGCUUCUUAUUUGGCCAUGGGCCGAUGACUCCAACCCUUAUGGAUGUAGUGAUGAUCACGGGUUUGGACAUUGCAUCGCCCAGCCCCUCUGCCUUCAGACUGCCUGAGGUCCCCUUUAAAUUAUCCUCCAAAACAGAAUGCACAAACUGGGGUGCCUACUUGAACCAACACAUCAAAAUUAAAGGCCCUGUAAUUGAGAAAGAACAUACAGCCUUUCUGAAUCUUUGGUUGGAACACUUCUUAUCUGUGGUCCAUCCCCUUCCCCAACCAAAAACUAUCUCUCACAGCGUAUGAACUGGCUAGAGGUAGUAUUGUUGGCCUCGGUAAAUUACUCCUUGGGGAGGUCUAUAGAUAUCUUCACCUGAUGUCUUCGAGCCUGCUUACCCAAAAGAAACUCAGAACCGGUGGUCCCUGGUGGUUCAUCUAGUUAUGGGCUCACCUAUAUUUUCAGAACCACAUUCCAAACUUCCCUGUUCUGACCAAUAACUCUUUUCCAGAUCAAAAUGGGAGAUAGAUCAAGUGUACCAGCUUUGGCCAGACUUUGUAUAGUCUUCCUGGUAGCAAGCUGAAUCCCACAGACGCCUCAAGCUAGUUUAGGAUAUUCUACCGAGUCCUGGACAACCCAAUCUUCCUCCCUUAUACGGAUUCUGAGAUUUUUGAGAACCCAAUCACCUUCAGAUUGGCUGAUUUUGCCAAUGAUGACAGCACUCGGCACUUAUACUCUAUCAUAAUUCGCCCUUGCUUCCUUCCAGUUGGCAUGAGCACCUCUAACAGAAUCAUCAAGCCUGGUUAUGAAUUCUACCAGCCGAUCGUAGCAGCCCGGCAAUUUGGACUUGGGCAAGUUUCCCCCACUUCUUCCUUCACCAUCUGAUAAUAAGUAGAACUGACCUGCCCGACAUCCUCACCAGCCAGAGAUGCUACAGCUUGUUCUCUGAUCUUCACGUCCCAAUUCCCGUUGACUUGUCAUUUACUUCUUCGGCUAUUGAUUUCGAGAGUUGGUGGUCGAUGUGGAAGACUCACGUCUUUCAGAGAGCCUUGUGGCCAAUGCUGCAGCAAAUUAAUGCUGAAUAUGAAGCCCCUGAGGAAGAGGUAUUACCAUCAGUUCAGUACUUCUUCAUGACUCCGCUUGACCCCUUCUCUAAUUCCGUUUGUUUUCUCUGCAGCAGGAGGAUGGUCCGGAGCCCAAGAAUGAUGAUGGCUCCACUUUCACAUUCUUGCCAGUUGCCCCCGUGGUCCUCUUCGGAAAGAAUGCACCUCCCGCAUCAAAGGUCAUCAUGCAGAUCCAGCCUGAUUCUGCAAAAUCGGCGUCCAAGCGAAAGGGAGCUUCUGACAUUGCUGCCCCCCAAGCCCAAACUAAGGCGAGGAAGAUGACUGUCAGUAAGAUUCAGAAGGAAGCUAGACCAUCUUCAACCGAUCAAGAAGCUCCGAUUGUCAACCAGGUUUGGAUCGUCCCUUUUAUAAUUGAUCCACUGAACAUGUAUAUUUUGACUUAUUUUCUCUUUCCUUGCUUGCAGGCUGAUAUCGUAGAUAUUUCCAGCGGGGAAGAGCUAGCGCACCAAGAAGACCCAACUCCAGAGGCUCCAGUGGAUCCUUUGACGAUGGUCGACGCCUUAGUCAACCUUCAGGAUCCGAUCCUGAAGACUCUAGAGAACCUCGCAACGCCAGUCGACACUUUGAUCAGCCUUCAGGAUCUGCAGGAGCCGAUCGUCACCUCGUCGGCUGUCAGUCCUUCUCUACACGAGCCGACUGUCACCUCGUCAGCUAUCAGUCCUCCUCCAGAAAGGGUGCGUCUGCAGGAGCCGAUCGUCACUUCAUCAGCUAUCACUCCUUCUCCAGAACAGGUGUGUUUUGUCAUUGAGCUGUUUGUAUCUUCCUUUCCCUGUGCCGUACUAAUUUUCUAUCUUCUUUCAGGGUCUGAACCUCUCGGAGUUGCUUUCAUUUGACCCUGCAUCCAUCGGCUCGGCCAUACUCGAAGUGGAUGAUCACCAGCCUCAGCCGACUGGUGUUGCUAGCCAGCUCCUUCGCAUAAAGGGCCCGCUGUCAGCUCUGAUUGAUACCUUGGUCCGGGACUCUAACGCGGUGAGGCAAAUUCUCGAGGAGAUCAAGCCCUAACUCCCGGAGGUCCUUCAAAUCAAGCUCUGGCCAACCGGACACCUCCCUUUCUUUCGGGCAAAGGUAGAACAGGCUCGGCAAAGGAUUGAAGCCCAUCGCUCGCAAGCCCCCUUGAAAGCCGACAUUGCCGAGAGGUGCCGACUGCUCAAUGAGAAGAAGGCGGCUCUGGACACCAAAACUGACACUUCCGCGCACUCUUAGGGGCUUCAACUUCUGGAGAAGGAAUUAGAAGACCUCAAGGCCAAGGUCCGGGCGACUGAGCAGCGCAUCCAGGAAGAGAAGAACCUCAUUGCGAGCUCCAAACGAGAAGUAGAGGACCUGACUGCUCAACUGAAGACAGAACUCGCAGAGCUGAGCAUUUUGAGUCAGCAGGUAGUGUCAGGUGAGGACAAGGAUGAUGAAGCAGUGAUUACUGAAGCUGAUCGCGUCCGCCUUGAGGCUAUCGCAGCCAUUGACGAGUUCCUUCAGUAGGCUACCUUGUAAUCACCUCUUGUAGCCUGUUGUCUUUCAAAACCUGCAUGUAUCCAAAUUUAAAAUUCUAAAGUUGAUGGUUACAUAUUGGCUAUUUGACCAACUCAGUGCGUUGGGUACAAAAUAUGUUUUUUUAUAUAUAUGCGGGCUGACUGCACGUGCCGGCCCCCUUUCCUUGUGUCCAGCCUGAUGCGCAACAUCGGCUUUCAUUUGCACGGGCCAUCUGAACGCAUCGGCUCACAGCCUCAAGAAGCAACUCCAUACCCUUACGUACCGCUUCAUAUUCUGCUAGAUUGUUGGAACAAGCGGUAGGUAAUCUGAUUGAAAAAGAAUAUGUUGCCCCCGAGGCGACACAAGUAGGAUACCUACGCCACAUCCAUCUCCACAAGCCGAUCCGUUGAAGUACAUAGCCCAUGCACGCACGGAGAGUGCUGCUACGUCAGUAUUGAUCCUUUCUGCAAUAAGAUCUGCCAGCGCUUGCCCCUUGGCUGCCUUCGCGGGUUGGUAUUGAAUAUCGAACUCUGACAAUGCAAACAUCUACUUUCCGAGUCAGCCUUUCAACACAGGAGCCGAUAGCAUAUGCUUGAUAACAUCUGAUUUGCAGAUGACAAUCAUCUCGGCUGAUAGCAAGAUAUGACGAAGCUUUGUGCAGGUAAAGAACAAACAAAGGCAUAACUUUUCAAUGUCAGGGUAUCUGGUCUCCGCAUCUAGCAUCCUUCUGCUGAGGUAGAACACAACCCUCUCCUUGCCGUCAUGCACUUGUAUCACCACUGAAGUAAUGGAGGUAUCGCCUACUGAUAAAUAAACAUAGAAUGGCUUAUCCUGUUGGGGCGGAACUAACACGAGUGGUUUUGACAAAUAUUUUUUGAUCUCCUCAAAUGCCCGUUGUUGCUUUGCCCCCAGCGAAACUCAUCAUUGGCUUUAACCUUCAUCAGCUCCAUAAAAGGCUCAAUCCGCCUGGAGAGAUUGGAAAUAAACCUUCUGACAAAGUUGAUUUUGCCAAUGAGCUGCUGGAGUUCCUUCUUUGUAGUAGGUGGCACCAUCGUUUUUACAGCUUCUUGACUCUUUAGGCCGAUCUCAAUUCCUCUUUCAUGCACCAAGAAACCCAGGAACUGACCGGCCGAUACGCCGAAAGCGCACUUCUUCGGAUUCAUCUUGAGCCCGAACCUUCUAGUUCGUUCUAAAACUUGCCGUACGUCUCCUAAGUGCCCCUCAACUGACGCUGAUUUAACCAUGAUGUCAUCAUUAUAUAUCUCCACUAACUUGCCGAUCAGGUCGUGAAAGAUAUAAUUCAUGGCACGUUGAUAUGUGGCGCCGGCAUUUUUCAACCCGAAGGUCAUGACCACAUACUCGAAUAAUCCUACUACCCCGGGUACCCCGAACGCGGUCUUGUGUAUAUCCUCCGGAGCCAUGAAAAUCUGGUUAUAGCCGGCAUUGCCAUCCAUGAAACUCAAAAUCUUGUGACCAGCAGCUGCGUUGAUCAAUGUCUCCGUGACAGGCAUCGGGUAUUCAUCCUUCGGAGUAGCUCUGUUGAGGUCUCUGAAGUCCACGCAGACUCACCAUCGGCCAUCUUUCUUUUGCACAGGUACGACACUUGAAAUCCACUCGGCGUACCUGCACGACCUGAUGAAUCCUGCUUCUAGCAUUUUCUCCACCUCUUUCUUAACUUUCGCCAGAACUUCAGCCUUCAUUUGUCGCGCUCGCUGCUGAAACGGCUGAAAUCCCUUUUUGAGAGGGAGCUGAUGCUCGACAAUGCUCCUAUCCAACCCAGGCAUCUCCGUAUAAUCCUAGGCGAAACAAUCUGCGUAAUCUUUCAGCAAAGCUAUCAUCAGCUUCGUAGACACGGGCUUAACUUUUUGUUGAUAAAUGUUGGUCAUGGCUUAUCCCCAGGACCAAUGUCAACCUCCUCGAGCUUGUCAGCCGACGUAAAUCCGUAUCCUAGCUUUCCGUCAUCUAUCAAGUCAACGCUGCAAAUGGACAAAGAAUGUGACGAAAAGAGUUUCGGCCGAUCGUUAAGACCGGCCGCUUUAUAAUCUUCAUUAAUCCUCGAAACUUUAUAAUUGAUGUAUGGCCGGCUGCUAGAGCGGGGCCCCUUGUAACUGCUACAAUCAUGCAAAACAUUUGUCACAAAAAGUUUACAUUUUAUUUUUGCAUCAGCACGGCUCGCCCUUUCGUCUACUCUGUAUGGCCAGUGGAUAAGACCAGCCUCACUCCGUUUUUUGUAGCCUCCACACGAUCACAGCCUUCCAAACUGAUCCCUGAGAUCGGCUCUUGAUCUUCUGCGUCCCAGAUGCUCAUAGCUGCAUGUGAAAUCUCGAUCGAGUCAUCCGCAUGAACCACCUCUACUUCAUCUCCAUCCCACUGAAUAAGACAUUGGUGCUUCGUGGAAGGGAUGCAGCAGUUGGCGUGAAUCCAAUCCCUCCCAAGUAGGACGGUGUAUGUACUCUUGCUGUUGACGAUGAAGAAAGAGGUAGGGACAGUCUUGCUUCCCACGGUCAGAUCCACACUAAGGACGCCUUGAGCCUUUGACAUUUGGCCGUUGAAAUCACUCAACAUGACGUUGGUCUUGAUUAGAUCUCCAGUGGAUCACCCCAACCAACGCAGCACUGAGUAUGGUAUUAUAUUGACUGCCGCACCUGUGUCAACCAACAUCUUGUUGAUAGGCUGGCCGUUUAUGUAACCCUUGAGGUGCAAAGCUUUCAAAUGCUUGUAAUUCUUCGCUCGUGGCUUCUUGAAUAUGACUGGCCGCGGCCCCAAGUCAAGCUGGGCUACCGAUAAAGCUUCACGGUUUUGGGCGUGGAACUCUGCGGGGAGUACAAACACCAUAUGUGCAUCAGCCGAUGUCUUUGCAUCGACUCUUGUUGGCUUUGGAUGCCACUCUUUCUUAGGAGGGUGCGACUCUCUUUUUUGGGUGUAAUGAACUUUCUCCACCAAAUCCGAGGGUGCCUGUCUUAGCAUCUCAAGAUAUCUGGCCUCAGCUUCCUCGAGACUACGCAGCUGCUGCACCCUGCAUUUCUGGGAUCGAUUAAGUCCAUCAGGGCACCAGCACGGCUGAUGAUACUUAUCCUUCUCCUCUUCAAAGUCCACCCUUUUGCGCGGUGGCUGAAUUUUCUCAUGCUGGGGACACAGGUCCCAAACGUCGAAAAAACGAGACCCCUUCUGCAUCACGCUUCCGAGAUCUGCACUCCAGGCAAUCCUCGACAGUAGGCAAUCGGCUCAUGCCAGAAUCCCAAAAAUACUUGAAGAACGGGCAAUACCAAUGAUCACGCGUAUCUCCUCGCUUCUUCAAACUUUUCCCAGUACGGCGCUCAUACUCUUCCUCCUCCGACUCACGCUGGAGACGUUGCUGGUACUGGUAUUCAUACUUUUUGAGGAGAUCGGUGUGACAUUCAGGUACUUAGGAUUAAAACACACUAGAUUCUAGUAGGAAGUAUGUAUGUUUGAUCUUUUGUAUGUGUGCUAAAACUUUAAUGCAGAGGGAAAAGGAUCUUUUUAUAACUCUAGAAAAUUUAGGUCCUUUGGUGCAAAAUGGGUGAGAAUGGGAGGUAAAAUCAAAACAUAUGAAGGUUAUUUUGCAAAAAGUCAAGAACUUACUUUUAAACCGCAAAUAGAGGUGAAACUACCCAAAGGAUGCAAGUGUAGUGUAGAUUUUAAAAAGAAUUUCUUUAAAGUUUAAAACUUUGCCAAGUUUUAGGUUAAAUUCAAAUUCUUAACUCUUUUGAAACUGAAUCUUAAAUAAAAGUUGUAGAUCUUGUUAAACUCUACACUUUUGCUUUUGGGCAUAUUUCCAUUUGAGCUAUGGUUUGAAAGUUAACUUGGCUUUAUAGUGGAGUCCCUGCAUUUUUUGAAAAUCAUGGAUUAGUCACUGUUUUCAACCUCCAGCUCCCCCUGCUCUGCACUGCCCGCGCUCAUGAUCCUGCCGCCCUCGCCGACCGUUUCCCGAGCCCCAGCUGCCCCUGCGCCGCCUUCCUUCGUGCCACGUGCCGCUCCUGCACCCCGCCCGCUGCUUCCCACCCCGCGCUGGACCCCUCCCUGCUUCUCCACGUCGUGCCGCUGUUGCCCCGAGCUGCCACGCCCGCCGCCGGCUUGACAGCAGCAGCUCUCGCUUGCUGUGCCCUCUCCUCGACUUGAAGCACAUCCUGGAGCUCCCAGUGUACUCUCUCUUGCGUUCACGCACCCACAUUUGCACUGCCCUUCUUCUUCCCGAGCGCGCCGCCCCACCGGAGCUCCGCCGUAGCUCCUGCUCGUCAUCGACAGCCACCUCUGCCGCUUCCCACCCCCGAUCCAGUGCUCUAGCAGUGGUGCAACCCACUAAAGCUCACAGACCUGCCCAAUUUUGUUCUCUCACACUAGAUCGCCCGGACCACUAUGCCGGUGAGCUCGAGCUUCCGCCGCCACUCGGCCUCGCCGUCGUCCCGCCGCUCCGUCGCCUCUCAGCCCCGGACAAGCACACCACCAGCACCACAUCAUCGCGUGGAAGCUGUCUAGCCACUUCCCCGCCGCUCUCCUGCCCUCCGGCCACCGGAACGCCGUCGCCGUUCCUCGAAGCACCGCCGGCCGCCUCUGUUCGCCGUCAACCCGCCGCCUCGGCCCCUCUCUUCCCCAACACCGACCACCCUCGUGACCGCCGUGAGCCCCUGAACCUUUUCCCCCACUUGCCCCUCGCCGUCGGUGAGUCCCCUCACCGAAAUUUGAUCACCACCGAUCGGCAUCCCUGUGUAGCCCAGCCAAGGACCUGAUUGCAAAGAUUUAAAUCUUUCCAGGGGCCUUUCCGUAGGAAAUCAGUACCUCCCCUCUAAUUCAAAUCAGCCAACUUGUAAAAUCCAUAGGAAUUUGUAGAAAAUUCAAAAAUUACCAAACUAGUUUUGUUGUGUUCCAGAAGUUUAGCUCUACAACUUCUGUUACUAAAGUGCAGUAUGAAACAAAAUAUUUUUAGAGUUAUUUUAAGACUUAACAAAAGGGUAUCUUGAGCAUAACUUUUGCAUGCUAGCUCUAGUGUUUGUGAUUUGUGGUAUGUAGCCUGUUUAGGGUAUGAGUAAGCUUAUAUGCAAAUUUCAAGUACAGUACUGAACUCUAGUUUGAAUUAAAUUAAACUUAUGCAAAUCAAGCUUGAAAUGGUUUAAAUUCAUUCAACCAUGCUAUUAAGGUUUUUAUGCUUAGAUGUUUUUACCAUAUGAUGUUCUGUAGUUAAGUAGUUUAUAGUAAAAUUUUUAAGAUUUAUAGCACUAAUUUGCCUAAGGUUUAGAUUUAAACUUGAAGUUUGAACUUAAUUCAAAUACAUUAGUUUAUGAUUUUAUAAAAUUAUGAAAAAUUCAUAGUAAUCUCAUCCACUAGAAGUGAGCUUACCCACAAAAAUACAAGGCCAUAACCUUUAUGGAUUUCAAAAUAAAAAUCAUAGUUUUUAACUGAAUUCAAUUAAAUCAAUUAAUUUGAUAAUUGAAUCAAAGUACACAUAGUGGGUUUGAAUUCAAACUUCCUUCUUUAUGAAAAUAUGUUUAUCAAUUGCUUGGAUUGCAACUUUAUCAUGAAGUAAUAUUCUUAACUCAAGAACCAUCUAAUUCAAAUCAAUGCAUAUCAUGUAGAGUCAAAGACACUCGAUGAUGGAGACUACGAGUUAGUCCUGGAAAACGAGCAAGGAUUUUCUGAAGAUCCUGUGAACGUCGCCGAGGUUUUAACUGAAGCCCCGAUCCAAGGUUCGGAAGUUAUUGACAUCCCUGACCCCAACCCCACUCAAGAAGGCAAGCCCCAAUACUUAUACGGUUUAUCCUUAUAUAUAUAUCUAUAUUAUGCUUUAAGUCUAGGAGUUGAAAUGGAACCCUAGAUGCAUGAAUACUAGGAACCUAUGUAUUGUGCCUGAGUCCAUAUCGAAUAGAUGCUCUGCUAAUAGGGCCGGCAGAAGUUAGGUGAUUUCCUAUCACUCGCACGAUAUAGGAAUUGAAUGUUUAUUAUUCUGCAAUCACUAUAAGGAUGAUGGAUGGGGUCAUAUGCAGUAUCAUAACUUGAAAGGUUACCCUGUCUGUGUUGAUAAAAGUUGUUAAGGUCGCAGUGUGUAGUAGCUGUGGUUAAGCAUUUGAAAGUACUAGCCACAUGCCGUGAAAUAUGGAAAGCGGUAAGCUUAGUGACCAAUCGGCCCGAGGAGUGGACAUACCUCCCACCACUCGUAAUUUGGUUUUUCGUACAUGCACCGACGUGCGGGAAUACAUUCUGCACAGUGGUCAGGAGUACGGUCAUGUAGUCGCGCUACAGACGUAUGUCCUGCAUAUUGGAUGUGCGUAUGGUCCUACAGUCGCUAGUGGUGGCCCUGAUCCACGAGUCGGAAUGAAAGGCAAACGGUUGCUUCGGAACGAUCGUUGGAUGUUCCAAGCGUGUGAGUUAGGUUUAACCUUGUAAGGUUAUGAAAUUCGAUUCAGAAUCGUUCGUUUCUCGCGGAGCUUGAGACUGCUUAUUCCUUCUACCACAUAGAGUAAAAACGGAAACCAUUAUUGGAAUAAUCUUGAUGAAUGCUAAUAUCUACCUUGCUUGUCUAGUAUAGGUGCUUACUUAGAAUGGUUAACGCAACUAGAAUCUGAAAGCUAAAACAUGCAAGAUAGAUCAUACUCUUUGUUGCUUUUCAGCAAAAAGAAAGCCAAAGCCUCUCAAUCCUCCAUGGUCUAGUUAUGGGCUAAGUAUACGCGAUCUCGGUUAAGCCUUGCUGAGUAUUAGCAUACUCAGUCUUGCUAGUCUGCUUUUCAGGUAUGACCGGUGUGAACCAAACGAAUAGUCCAACUUGGCCGUUCUCUGUUCCGUUUGGCUGGUCCGUGGAGUGGGAUCCGUCCCCGGUUGGCAGUGACCCUCCGGAAUGACACCAGGUUUCGGGCUGAACGUGGUGUCAACUCUCACGACGUGUGUAGUCGCGUGUUAAUUUUCUUCCGCUGUUACUCUAGCACAAGCUUGUAUAGCUUGUGGCUUUAAACAAUGUUUGUAUAAGUUAACUUUAAAGCUUGAAACAGUCUGUAAUAAUGUUUAUUAUUCCUAUAAAUUAAAAGUUAGUGAGUUGUGGUGUGAUUGUAAACUCGCCUUCAUGCGAGGUAAACCUACUUCGAUCCUGUUGAACCGUGGUUGUAUCGGGCGGUGACCCGACAGACCAAUGGGUUGUUCCGUUUGAAGUGCGUUGAGUUAGGAUCACCUGUAUAGUGAUGACUAGCGCCCUUGAGCCAGAAUAAUUUAAGCGGUUCUGCCACAGCUGGUAUCAGAGCUGUAAGUUUAAUUUUACAAUGGGCAAUACACCGCAGUAGCUCUUAAAAAUGUUUUCGGGAUAAAAUUUACUUAACAAAAGAAUUUGCAAAGUACGUUGGACUCGUUAAGGUUGGUGUUUAGAUCGUAAAGCCCUAGGGAAUUAUAUGGGAAUUAUCAGGUGGCUACUAGUAUGUAUAUGUAUAUGGUUCAGCUCUAACUUGCAGCACUACCUUCUGUCAAAACUUACUUUCGAGCACAACCAACCCUAGAUAUCUAUUUGUAUUAUCCGUUCCUCAAUGUUGAGACAAGAAGGUAAGAAGAUAAGGAUCCUCAGCCAACUGAGAGAGAUUGGCCUUCCCGUCGGUGAUACGAACCGAAAGCUGUUUCUCAAGCAAUGUUUUACUUGAGAUGCUGCCAAUAUAUCAAUGAUUAUUUGAUUAUAUUAGGAGUAUAUAGUUUGGCACAGGGUAUGGUGAUCGCUGUUCAUACCCCCGUUUUAUACGGUACCCCCGUGAAUAUGUUGCAGAUGUAACGUAUGCUAACAUCGUCCGUACGGCAGAAAUUGUACGGAUACUGUUUCUAUAGUGAACAAUACUGUUUGGGGACGCUUUCAUGUCAUGCUGCCAUGAAAGGUUCAUGUUAUAUAAAUAUGGACUUCUGCAGGUACACUAACCAUGAUUAAGAGGUUAAGAUGGAUAGGACUUAUCGACUAGUUAUUAGAGAGAGACAUAUGUGUUAUGCCACCAGAAUUAACCACGUAAGUCUGAAGAUAUUCGGCAAUUAUUUUGGGUGUUGUACAUUGAAUGUGCAUAAUCCAUCAAUAAGCAAAGUGAGUACAUUGAAUGUGUUGUUCUUUUAAGGACAUAUUGGGUGUUGUCUAUCUCUAGUGUGAUUUCAGUAGGGAUUCUUGUGGUUGCCUUAGUUAAGUUUCGGUAUCCUUCAAAAUCUCACUAUUUGAAUUCUUGCUUCAGAUGGCGGCUCCUUCAAACGUCUUUUGGGAUCACGCAGGGCAUCUCUAUACCAAUGCCUUGCACUGGGAGGGUUUUCCCGUCUCUUAUGGGAAUCACUUAGGCUAUUUUUCUACACCGAGCCCCCACAGUAUGAUGGAGUGGAGUAUAGGGAAGAAGGUGUUCCUCAGUGCAGAGUUAAGAUGACUAUUCCUCAGCACCCUUUUCAUUCUCCGUGGCAGCCCAUCGAAGUCGAUGUGGUUGGCUAUCAUCUCGUCGACACCAUUGAGACCGCAGCUCUUGAGGCCAUCUACAUUUUCUGCAACCAGCAUCCCAUGGAAGUUGCAGUUCAUCCUAUCGGCCUAUUCCCUGCAAUAGAUUCCAAUGAUUCCGAGUGGAACUUCCGGAUAGCUCAUUAUGGUCAUAUGUUGGGAGAUUUAGCUGAAGAGACGCUCCGUGGUACCAUCAGGUUCUUGAAUGCUCAGCACCACUAUCAGAUUUUGCUGCGCCGUGGUAUGAGUCAGUUGACCAGUUGUUAUCGCCAUAAUCUGGACAGGCCGGAAGUGGGCCGUGGAGCAAGAUGGGUUUGGAGGAUAACUAUAAUGGGCUUGCGAAUCGGUCCCUGUGCGGAUGUUUUGGGCCCAGGGAGGCUGUGUUAAUAGUUUAGAUAUAGGUAGUUAAGAUUCGUGUCGUGUUUGGUUAGGGUUGGUUAAGAAAGACAAGUCUACGGACUGUAAAUAUGUAUCAUGAAUAAAGAAUAAAGACAGAAUCAUUCAUCAACAUCUCUCGGCGCAUCACCUCCCCUAUUCUAGGGUUUUCUCGGGUAAGUGCCGUGCGACCCUGAUCACGCAGAGUGUGAUCGGGGUAGCUUCAUUCUUGCUCUCUUAAUUUAUGUGCUUUUCGUUCUGAAGCAUUGUUGACGACGAGUAGCACUAGUUAUCUCAACACUCAUAGAGUAAUGUUAAGUUCUUCAUAUUUCGAUCAUGCUCUAUUUUGUUACUCAUGAGUGUUUAGUAGUCAUCGCGUCUGGUCUCGGGUGCGAUGGUUGCAUCUUGCUUUAUUCUUAUUAUUAGAUCCAAUCUGUUAUGAUUAGUUUCUAUUCAUCAGAGAUUUAGCUCAAUAUCUGCAUAAUUAGGCCUUAGCAAAUGAGUUGAAAGUUCCGGCGGUGUAAUUAGUGUCGGGUAGCAGCUUAAAAGGAGAUUGUUCUAGGAAUCGACCUUUUCGGUUGGUUUUUAGGCCUCUGUUUAGGUUGUUAUUUUGUUGCUUUUUAGUAUUCGUUAGGCUCAAUCACGCGUAAGAUGUUCCGAUUAUGCAGUGAGGGUUUUAAUCGUCAUAGGUUGGAUUAGAUUGAUAUUUAUGGAGCAGGAUUUAUGGCGUUAUCAAGCACGUAUAUCGUUUGCUUGUAGAGCCGACCCGGUAUUAAUGCAAUCGGCUCUUUACAGCCGAUACCGGGAAGGAAGCGAUGAGCCGAUCACGGCUCGGAUUAAUGUUUACUCGUGUCUUUGCAUGCAGGAAUUUAAUACAUCACACCUUCCUAAUCAGGUAUAGGAUCAGGUGGCACGCCUAGCGACUCUGAGGCCAGGGUGUGUGCCGGAUCUCUGGGCCGUUGACCGGGGGACCGGGGCCCACCAGCAGUCUCGGAAGCCUCCCGGCUCCUCGUGUUGCCUGUCAUUGCCUGCCGGCGGGUUUUGACCGACAACACCAGUAUAGCUCAAGGUCACUAUCGAAAUGCUGAUCGACAGGUCACUCAGAUAGAAGAGCUUCAAGCAUUGGUCACGGAGAAGGAAGAAAUUAUCGCAAAGCGAGAUGAGACCAUUAUCCAUCGGGAGGAUCAGAUCAAUGAGAGUGAUGCAAUAAUCACUCAACGUAACAUGAUUAUCGAGUUCCUCCAGGAGCAAAUCCACGACCUCAUUCUUGAGGUUGACGACGCCCAUGCUCACAUCGAUGAAGUUCAGUAGCAGCCAGUACCCCCUGCUAUACCCAUAGCACCUGAAGGCGAAGAAGAAGAACCAGAGGAAAUUGAGGGAGUUUCUGAUCUCGACUCCGAGCAUGGAAACCCAGAGCCUAACCCUCAGCCAGAUCACUCCUCUUCCGACAGCCAGUCCUCCGUAGGUGACCUCGACGAUUUUUAGUCCAUCUAAAUCAUCGAUCUUUCAGAUGUAACUAGUGUAGAAUGUUGUGACAUAGGUAGUGAGUAGUCUAUCCGGACCCAAGGCCAUUUGCUGUAAUAUAUUUAUGGCAUGUGUAUGUAUGGCUUGACCGUAGCAAUCGAACCACCUUGAUGUAAUAUAUCUAAGCUUGAGUCCUGUGGUUCAUAUCAAAAUCUUUGCCUUUUGAUUGAGUUGGUUAGACGGAAUAUGUAAUUUACAUAUCUGUUUAACGGCAGUAUAUCAUCUGAAAAUGGGAGCGAGAAUGUGUUGAUAAUAAUGGACAUCUCCUUUGUUUCAAAUGGUUGGAGCUACACGUGGAACCCCGGAAGGUUUCCGGGCAGACCAAGCUAGCGGUUCCCAACAACUGCCACCAGCCCCGCCAAAUUUGGUGGAAGUCAUGGCACGAUAGAUGGAACUUCUUAACCAGCUGGUACAGGCCCAGAUGAACCAGUCUCAUCACACAUCCCGAGGCCAUGAUGAACAUCCAUCGGCUGGUUACCAAGACUUGCUCAGCACUCAGCCCCCACUGUUCUAUAAAGCUGAUGAGCCCCUUGAUGCUGAUGCAUGGCUCCAUACUAUAGAGUCCAAGUUCGCAUUGUUAUUUGCACCAUGCUCAGACGCGAACAAGGCACUCUUCGCGGCUCAACAACUUCGCGGCACCGCCCGCAUAUAGUGGGACCAUUACUACGCCAUGCAGCCGGCUGGUCAUGUUGUUACAUGGGAUGAAUUCCGGACCACUUUCAGAGCGCACCACAUUCCAGAAGGACUCAUCGAGUGAAAGCUCAAUGAAUUCCUAACCUUGACCCAGGGAACCCGCACAGUCAUGCAAUAUGCACAGGUCUUCAAUCACCUGUGCCAGUACGCGGGUUAUCAUGCGGACACUGACGCCCGUAAAUGAGAUCGCUUCCGUUGAGGCCUAAACGCAAAGCUUAAGGAAUGGCUAAAUCUGGUAAAGGCCAACACUUUCAAUGAAUUGGUCAAUAUGGCCAUUACUCAAGAGGAAUGCAUCUCAGCCCACCGGGCUGAAAAGAAACGGAAGACACCCACGGGACCCUCAGCUGCGCAACCACCAAGGUAUUGGUUGGUCCAGAACACUGCUACCCGAGCCCCGCCCCGAAACAAUCUACCAGGCAGAUGGGUAGCCAGGCCACCCCAGCAGGCUCGAUUCAAUCGGCCACCGACACCCCAACUCCAGUAGCAACAGCCGCAAGGCCCGCGGCUGAGCUUUCCGCCGUCCAAUCAAGGAAACAACAACAAUCGUUGUUUCAAUUGCGGUAGCCCAUCCCAUUUCAUCAAGGAUUGCCCUCAACCCAGAAGAUCUUUCCAAGGGCAAACAUCAAGCCCAAACAACAAGGGCAAGGGCAAGAAGCAGAUGGUACAAGUCCACCAGGGGAGGGUGAACUUCACAACUCUCUCCGAACUCCCCGAGGGUGCGCCAAUAAUGACAGGUAGUUUCUCUAUAAACCAUCAACCCGUGAUUAUACUUUUUGAUUCUGGUGCAACCCAUAGUUUUAUCAGUUCAAAGUGUGGAACAAAAGUAGGCCUGGAUCUCUAUCCUACUAGAGGAUCCUAUAUGAUAGCAACUCCUGGCGGUAAAAUUUCAUCAAAUCAAAUCUAUAGAAAGGUGCCAAUUCAGUUGGGUAGCAAUCUGAUAAAAACAGAUUUACUGUUAUUGGACCUAGAAGGAAUGGAUGUCCUCCUAGGCAUGGAUUGGAUGACUAGGCAUCGAGUGUCACUAGAUAUCUCUUCCCGAGCUGUGGAGAUAGAUUCACCUGAACAUGACACUACUAUUCUCUAUCUUCCAUAACGGGAGUGCAAUAACUCUUGUGCCUAUGCUGUAGAAGGGAUCAAGUUAAAGGAUAUCCCUAUUGUUUGUGAAUACCCAGAUGUUUUUCCAGAUAAUUUACCUGGAAUGCCCCCGGAUAGGGAUAUUGAGUUUAUCAUAGAAUUACAACCCGGCACAGCCCCCAUCUCUAAGAGGCCCUAUCGUAUGCCACCCAAUGAGUUAGCAGAGUUAAAAAUCCAACUUCAGGACCUCCUUGAUAAGGAUUUCAUCCGUCCGAGUGCUUCACCAUGGGGUUGUCCAGCCCUAUUCAUGAAGAAAAAGGACAAUAGCUUAAGGCUAUGUGUAGAUUAUCGUCCCCUCAAUGCGGUGACCAUAAAAAACAAGUAUCCUCUGCCCCGCAUUGACAUUUUGUUCGAUCAGUUAGCCAGAGCCAAAGUAUUCUCUAAGAUUGACCUCCGCUCCGAAUAUCAUCAAAUCAAGAUCAGGUCGAGUCACAUUCCAAAAACAGCCUUUUCCACCAGAUAUGGACUAUAUGAGUAUCUAGUCAUGUCGUUUGGUCUUACCAAUGCCCUAGCAUAUUUCAUGUAUCUCAUGAACUCUAUCUUCAUGCAAGAACUCAACAAAUUCGUAGUGGUCUUCAUUGAUGACAUUCUGAUCUACUCUAAAAAUCCGGAAGAUCAUGCAAAACAUCUUCAUGUUGUUCUUCAACGAUUGAGAGACCACCACUUGUAUGACAAAUUCUCCAAAUGCGAAUUUUGGCUGGAUGCCGUUAAAUUUCUAGGACAUACUAUCUCCAGUGACGGUAUAUCCGUUGAUCCCAAUAAAGUCCAAGAAGUGCUAGACUAGAAACCUCCUACAUCAGUCCAUCAGAUCCGCAGUUUUCUUGGUCUAGCUGGCUAUUAUCAUCAUUUCAUUCCUGACUUCUCAAGAAUAGCCAAGCCCAUGACUGAACGACUAAAGAAAGGAGUUAAAUUCUCUUGGGAUCAGAAAUGUGAAGAUGCAUUUCACACCCUCAGAGCACAUCUUAGUACUGUCCCAGUUCUGGCUCAACCAGAUGUUUUAGAACCUUUUAACAUCUAUUGUGAUGCUUCGGGAAUCGGACUUGGUUGUGUGCUUAUGCAAGACAACCGAGUGAUUGCGUAUGCAUCACGAGCACUCAGGACUCAUGAACAGAACUAUCCUACUCAUGAUCUUGAACUCGCAGCUGUCAUCCAUGCACUUAAGAUUUGGAGACAUCAUCUGAUGGGUACAAAGUGCCAUAUCUAUACUAACCAUAAAAGCCUCAGUACAUUUUCGCGCAUGCAGAUUUAAAUAUGAGGCAAAGAUGCUGGCUAGAACUUAUCAAGGAUUAUGAUCUAGAAGUACACUAUCAUCCAGGCAAGGGCAACGUCGUUGCGGAUGCACUUAGCCGCAAGGCGCAUUGUUUUUGCUUAUCUGUUGAGGCUUUCAAUGAGACUCUUUGUUGGGAGAUGAGAAAGCUCAAUCUAGAGAUCAUUCCCCAAGGUAGCUUGAAGCAUCUCUCAGUUGAAGCUACGCUUAAGGAUAACAUCAUCCUGGCACAACAGCAUAAUAAAGAAAUCAGAAUCAUCAAGCAGAAGUUAGCACAAGGAGAAGGAAAGUACAAGUGCUUUUGAGUAGAUCACGAAGGGGUUCUAUGGUUCAACGAACAUAUCGUUGUACCCAAAGACCAUAAGCUUCGUAAGCAGAUAUUGGAGGAGGCCCAUUUAUCCAAAUUCUCUAUGCACCCUGGCAGUACCAAGAUGUACCAAGAUUUGAAACAAAAUUUUUGGUGGACUCGUAUGAAGCGAGAAAUUGCAAAGUAUAUCUCAGAGUGUGAUAUUUGCCAAAGAGUUAAGGCCAGUCAUUUAAGGACUGCUGGUAUUCUUCAACCUCUGCCUAUUCCUUCUUGGAAGUGGGAGGAUAUCAGCAUGGAUUUCAUCGUUGGCUUACCCAACACAUCCCAAAGGCAUCUCUAUUUGGGUAAUCGUUGAUCGAUUAACCAAAACUGCCCAUUUUCUUCCAGUGCAUACUACUUACAACGCCAAAAAGUAUGCUGAAAUCUAUUUAGAUCAAAUCGUUCGUCUCCAUGGAGUGUCUAUGACGAUCAUUUCUGAUCGUGGAGCACAAUUCAUCGCUCGGUUCUGAGAGCAACUUCAAUAUGCUCUUGGAACUAAGCUAAUCCGAAGCUCCGCAUACUAUCCUCAGACAGACGGGCAAACGGAAAGGAUAAAUCAGAUUCUAGAAGAUAUGCUUAGAGCCUGCGUACUUCAGUAUGAUAGGAAUUGGGACAAAUGCUUGUCGCUGGCAGAAUUUUCUUACAACAAUAGUUAUCAGACAAGUCUCAAGAUGGCCCCGUUCGAAGCAUUAUACGGUCGCUGAUGCCGAACUCCUUUGAGUUGGUCACAAACCGGCGAGCGUAAAAUCUUUGGACCCGACCUUGUCACUGAAGCAGAGGAAAAAGUGAAGACUAUUCAGAAUAAUCUAAAAGCAGCCCAAUCUCGACAGAAAAGCUACGCUAACAUCCGAAGGAGAUCAUUACAAUUCUAGGUUGGAAACUUCGUAUAUCUUCGAGUAUCUCCUACUCGAGGUAUUCAACGGUUUGGUAUAAAAGGGAAGCUUGCUCCUCGAUAUAUUGGACCCUUUGAAAUCAUCGAAGUUUGUGGACCUGUAGCUUAUCAUCUUCAACUUCCUCCUCAAUUAGCGGCCAUUCAUAAUAUCUUCUAUGUGUCUCAACUUAGGAAAUGUUUCAAAAUUCCUACCGAGAUCAUCGAUCCCCAAGCCAUUGAAAUCGAAUCUGAUCUAACCUAUACCGAACAUCUGAUCAGAGUGCUAGACACCAAAGAGAGAAGUACUAGAAGAGAGACCAUCAAGAUGUUCAAAAUUCAGUGGGAUCAUCACAUGGAAGAAGAAGCGACUUGGGAAAUCGAGUCAUAUCUUCAGCGAAACUUUCCAGAUUUCCUUCAAGCCAACUCCUAAAUCUGAUCGAUUAAUUCCAUCUUGUUCCGGAAUCUCGGGACGAGAUACUUUUUAGGGGGGAAGGCUGUGACAUUCAGGUACUUAGGAUUAAAACACACUAGAUUCUAGUAGGAAGUAUGUAUGUUUGAUCUUUUGUAUGUGUGCUAAAAAUUUAAUGCAGAGGGAAAAGGAUCUUUUUAUAAUUCUGGAAAAUUUAGGUCCUUUGGUGCAAAAUGGGUGAGAAUGGGCGGUAAAAUCAAAACAUAUGAAGGUUGUUUUGCAAAAAUCCAAGAACUUACUUUUAAACCGCAAAUAGAGGUGAAACUACCAAAGGAUGCAAGUGUAGUGUAGAUUCUAAAUAGGAUUUCUUUAAAGUUUAAAACUUUGCCAAGUUUUAGGUUAAAUUCAAAUCCUUAACUCUUUUGAAACUCAACCUUAAAGAGAAGUUGUAGAUCUUGUUAAACUCUACACUUUUGCUUUUGGGCAAAUUUCCAUUUGCGCUAUGGUUUGAAAGUUAACUAGGCUUUAUAUUGGAGUCCCUGCAUUUUUGGAAAAUCAUGGAUUAGUCCCUGUCUUCAACCUCCAGCUCCCCCUGCUCUGCUCUGCCCGCGCUCGUGAUCCCGCCGACCAUUUCCCGAGCCCCAGCUACCCCCGCGCCGCCUUCCUUCGCGCCACAUGCCGCUCCUGCACCCCGCCCGCCGCUUCCCACCCCGCGCUGGACCCCUCCCUGCUUCUCCACGUCGCGCCGCCGUCGCCCCGAGCUGCCACGCCUGCCGCCGGCUUGACAGCAGCCGCUCUCGCUCUCUGUGCCCUCUCCUUGACUUGAAGCACAUCCAAGAGCUCCCAGUGCACUCUCUCUUGCAUUCACGCACCCACAUUUGCACUGCCCUUCUUCUUUCCGAGCUCGCCGCCGCGCCGGAGCUCCGCCGUAGCUCCUGCUCAUCAUCGAUAGCUGCCUCCGCCGCUUCCCACCACCAAUCCAGUGCUCUAGCAGCACCGCCGCAACCCAUUGAAGCUCACAGAGCUGCCCAAUUUUGUUCUCUCACACUAGAUCGCCCGGACCACUACGCCGGUGAGCUCGAGCUUCCGCCGCCGCUCGGCCUCGCCGUCGUCCCGCCGCCUCGUCGCCUCUCAGCCCUGGACAAGCACACCACCAGCACCACAUCAUCGCGUGGAAGCUGUCUAGCCACUUCCCCGCCACCCUCCUGCCCUCCGGCCCCCGGAACGGUGUCGCCGUCCCUCCGAGCACCGCCGGCUGCCUCUGUUCGCCGUCAACCUGCCGCCUCGGCCCCUCUCUUCCCCAACACCGACCACCCUCGUGACCGCCGUGAGCCCCCUGAACCUUUUCCCCCACUUGCCCCUCGCCUCCUGUGGGCCCCCUCGCCAGAAUUUGAUCGCCAUCGAUCGGCAUCCCUGUGUGGCCCAGCCAAGGAUCCGAUUGCAAAGAUUUAAAUCUUUCCAGGGGCCUUUCCGUAGGAAAUCAGUACCUCCCCUCUAAUUCAAAUAAGCCAACUUGUAAAAUCCAUAGGAAUUUGUAGAAAAAUCCAAAAAUUACCAAACUAGUUUUGUUGUGUUCCAGAAGUUUAGCUCUACAACUUCUGUUACUAAAGUGCAUAUGAAACAAAAUAUUUCUAGAGUUAUUUUAAAACUUAACAAAAGGGUAUCUUGAGCAUAACUUUUGCAUGCUAGCUCUAGUGUUUGUGAUUUUUGGUAUGUAGCCUGUUUAGGGUAUGAGUAAGCUUGUGUGCAAAUUUCAAGUACAGUACUGAAAUCUAGUUUGAAUUAAAUUAAACUUAUGCAAAUCAAGCUUGAAAUGGUUUAAAUUCAUUCAAGCUUGCUACUGUAGUUGAGUAGUUCAUAGUAAAAUUUUCAAGAUUUAUAGCACUGAUUUGCCUAAGGUUUAGAUUUAAACUUGAAGUUUGAACUUAAUUCAAAUACAUUAGUUUAUGUUUUUAGAAAAUUAUAAAAAAUUUAUAGUAAUCUCAUCCACUAGAAGUGAGCUUACCCACAAAAAUACAAGGCCAUAGCCUUUAUGGAUUUCAAAAUAAAAAUCAAACUUGUUAACUUAAUUCAAUUAAAUCAAUUAAUUUGAUAAUUGAAUCAAAGUACACAUAGUGGGUUUGAAUUCAAACUUCCUUCUUUAUGAAAAUAUGUUUAUCAAUUGCUUGGAUUGCAACUUUAUCACGAAGUAAUAUUCUUAACUCAAGAACCAUCUAAUUCAAAUCAAUGCAUAUCAUGUAGAGUCAAAGACACUCGAUGACGGAGACUACGAGUUAGUCCUGGAAAACGAGCAAGGAUUUUCUGAAGAUCCUGCGAACGUCGCCGAGGUUAUAACUGUAGCCCCGAACCAAGGUUCGGAAGUUAUUGACAUCCCUGACCCCAACCCCACUCAAGAAGGCAAGUCCUGAUGCAUAACCCAGUAUUUGAAAUUACUACACUUAUACGGUUUUAUCCUUAUAUAUAUCUAUAUUAUGCAUUAAGUCUAGGAGUUGAAAUGGAACCCUAGAUGCAUGAAUACUAGGAACGUAUGUAUUGUGUCUGAGUCCAUAUCAAAUAGAUGCUCUGCUAAUAGGGCUGGCAGAAGUCGGGUGAUUUCCUGUCACUCGCGCGAUAUAGGAAUUGAAUGUUUAUUAUUCUGCAAUCACUAUAAGGAUGAUGGAUGGGGUCAUGUGUAGUAUCAUAACUUGAAAGGUUACCCCGUCUGUGUUGAUAAAAGUUGUUAAGGUCGCAGUGUGUGGUAGCUGUGGUUAAGCGUUUGAAAGUACUAGCCACAUGCCGUGAAAUAUGGAAAGCGGUAAGCCUAGUAACCAAUCGGCCCGAGGAGUGGACAUCCCACCACUCGUAAUUUGGUUUUUUCAUAGACGCACCAACGUGCGAGAAUACUUUUCGCACAGCAGACAGGAGUACGGUCAUGUAGUCGCGCUACAGACGUAUGUCCUACACAUUGGAUGUGCGUAUGGUCCUACAGUCGCUUGUGGUGGCCCUGAUCCACGAGUCGGAAUGAAAGGCAAACGGUUGCUUCGGAACGAUCGUUGGAUGUUCCAAGCGUGUGAGUUAGGUUCACCCUUGCAAGGUUAUGAAAUUCGAUUCAGAAUCGUCCGUUCCUCGUGGAGCUUGAGACUGCUUAUUCCUUCUGCCACAUAGAGUAAAAAGGGAAACCAUUGUUGGAAUAAUCUUGAUGAAUGCUAAUAUCUACCUUGCUUGUCUAGUAUAGGUGCUUACUUAGAAUGGUUAACGCAACUAGAAUCUGAAAGCUAAAACAUGCAAGAUAGAUGAUACUCUUUGUUGCUUUUCAGCAAAAAGAAUGCCAAAGCCUCUCAAUCCUCCAUGGUCUAGUUAUGGGCUAAGGAUACCCGAUCUCGGUUAAGCCUUGCUGAGUAUUAGCAUACUCAGUCUUGCUAGUCUGUUUUUCAGGUAUGGCCGGUGUGAACCAAAUGAAUAGACCAACUUGGCCGUUCUCUAUUCUGUUUGGCUGGUCCGUGGAGUGGGAUCCAUCCCGGCUGGCAAUGACCCUCCGGAAUGACACCAGGUUUCGGGCUGAACGUGGUGUCAACUCUCACGACGUGUGUAGUCGCGUGUUAAUUUGCUUCCGCUGUUACUCUGGCACAAGCUUGUAUAGCUUGUGGCUUUAAACAAUAUUUGUAUAAGCUAACUUUAAAGCUUGAAACAGUCUGUAAUAAUGUUUAUUAUUCCUGUAAAUUAAAAGUUAGUGAGUUGUGGUGUGAUUGUAAACUCGCCUUCAUGCGAGGUAAACCUACUUCCAUCCUGUUGAACCAUGGUUGUAUUGGGCGGUGACCCGACAGACCAAUGGGUUAUUCCGUUUGAACUGCGUUGAGUUAGGAUCGCCUGUAUAGCGAUGACUAGCGCGCUUGAGUCGGAAUAAUUCAGGCGGUUCUGCCACAAUCGGAAGAAGCCGGCCGCUAAUUCCUGACGUGACUUACUUGCUCUUCCGUGAUAUAUCUAUUUUCCCCUUUUUGGGACCGAUCACAGGGAUCGGCCUCUUCAUUCCUAGCAUGGCAAUGUGGCGCAGGCCUUGCCAUAUUAAUGCCAAGUGUGAAAUCUAAUUGUCGUCUCGCAGAUCGGUCAUAACCCUCUACCAUUAUAUACGCUUGGGAAAGGCUGGGUAUCAACCUUCAUGGUAUUUUGACCUAAGAUCAAUCGGCUUUGUUCAAUAGCCGAUUGGAUUUGCCGACGAAGUUCCUUGCAGUCGCUGGUGUUGUGCGUGAAGGAAUGAUGCCACUUGCAGUAUGACCUCCCUUGCAACUCCUGUGCUGUAGGAAACUUACAGCCUUCAGGUAACUUCAACUGUUUCUCCUUCAAUAAUAGAUCAAAUAUUUGCUCAACUUUGCUUACAUCAAAGUCAAAACCUUUUGCAGGUCCCUACUGCUUCACCCACUUGCAGGACACGGGAUUCGCCCCUGAGUCCACUCUACAACUGCUACUUCUUGGUCAUCCCCAGAAUCUUCAGUGUCUUCUGCGUCGAUCAAUGUUACUUGAUGCUUGAACCUGUCCUGGUACAGUUCUAGGUGGCGCUGCUCAUAUGAUGUUAACUUCUGCACCAAGUGCGCCAAAGAAUUGAACUCCAAUUGGAAGACUAGAUCCUUGAUCGGUUUUACUAAACCUAAGGAUGCCAACUCGACCGCCUCCUUUUCUGAAAUACGGGUCGAGUAGAAUCGGUUCUUGACCUCUCUGAAGUGCUGGAUAUAUUCUGCCACGGUUUCCCCUCGCUUCUACCGGACUUGUGCCAAAUUGGCAAUUCCGGCCUCCGCAACUUCCGAGUGGUAUUGAAUGUGAAACUGCUCCUCCAACUGCUUCUAGGUGCGGAUCGAGUCAGGGCCUAAUGAUGUGUACCAUCCAAAGGCUGGCCCUGUAAGAGAUUACGAGAAGAACCUUACUCGCAAGGGAUCCGACACUGGGAUCAUUCUUAACUGUGCCAAGUAUCGGCUCACAUGCUCGAUGGAGCUAGAUCCUUCUGCUCCACUGAACUUAGUGAACUCACAGAGCUGAUACUUAGGCGGUAGAGGAAUUAAAUCAUACUCACUGGGAUACGGCUUAGUGUAGCCGAUCGCCCGCCUCUUUGGUAGAAUGCCAAAUUGAUCCCUUAAGAUGGCUCUAAUUUAGUCUACCGUCUGCGCUCCUAGGGCCGAGUGCAUACUGUCAUGACUCGGCCCGGUGGCGUAAGCAGCUAGCCACGCUUGUUUAUCGGCAUCUGCUCCAGAAACUCCUCCAGCUGCCCUCUGCAUCGAAUGUACCGGGUUGUUGCUAUCCGGUAUAUAAGCACACAUAUACCCAUGUGGAAUCUCCUUGGGCGGCUCGCUGAAGAACUGGUGAUCCACAGGGUCACCUCCCACCUUGUAGACGAUGUAGGCUGAUGAGCUGUGUGAUUCUGGAGCCGCGAGCGCAUAAGGCAGCGGUGGCUUGGCUUGGAAUGGCAAUUCUCCUUUGUGACUACCCAGGAUAGGUCCCAUUGGAGAGUACUGAUGCUUCAUGAUUUCCUGGACCAUGCACAGCGUGUGUCACACCCGAUUUAUAAGAACAUAAAUCGAGCAAUCAUAUAUGCGCCAGGAUCAAGUCACGCAUAUAUACAACAGAUUAUCAAGAUAUCACAACACAUGUCACGAAUAACAUUAAUAUAAAUCGUAAAUAGAUCAUGAAUAAAUUGUUUCAUUACAACCGAAUCAAGAAUCGGUUCAAGAGUUGCGGAAGCGUAAAAGAGAUACAUGAAAAGCUGGGCGCCACAGGGACGUCGACUGGGAGACAAACGCCUAGAAGUCGUCGAAGCCGCUGACGUAGUCCUCCACGUUGCCGGGCACUGAGCAGCAGUCGAAGAUAGCCGAAAUGGAACAGAAGAAUAGAGAGACAAGUGUGAGUACAAACUCGUACUCAACAAGUAUAACACGAGCAUGAGGCUCUAAGGUUAGCUGACUCAACUGCAUUAGCUUUUAGUCUUGGCAAAUUUUAUUAAAACUAAUUACUACAAGUGGAUGAGUUACCAUAACCCGAAUUGCAUAAGAAUUAAUCAAUAUUAAUUAGGAACUACUGAGAACUAUCCAACCAAAACCACCCGGGGAAUCGCCCUCGUCAAAGGUUGAUAACCCCACUAAUCAGACGGAGGAUCUGGGCCGCUCAUGACUGUGAGCACAGCUGAUAUAUCAGUUUUACACUCUCGAGAGGUUGCACAACUUUACCCACAAGUCGUGAGCUACGCUAGUUGUUCAUCACACUUCCUUAGGUGAGAUGGCUAGCAAGCGCACUACGAGACCGUUACAAAGGAUCACGUUGGUAAGGUGUAACCGCUAAGGAUUCUGGAUCAGCGACGAUGGGGCCCACCUCCGGGGGUACAAGACACACAGCACAGACCAAGCCGGAGGAGCAGGGACCAUUGAAGCUUACCACCCCUCUUGCCCACGCAGGUAAGUUACUCCCGAACCAAAAUGACCUAAUUAGUAAGUCAAGACCGUCCCAUACCAGUCUUGUGGUUGCGCGGUUGUCCCAGGUUGUCGCUCUAUGAACCGGUCCUUAUGGAGAGUGGCCAACCAAGCACUAAGCACCGUGCUGGCCCCCUAAACCAUGUUUCUAGCAAAACACCUUUUAAGGACGCACAAACCACUCAAGCACACAGCACAGAGGGUCGGCUCCAGAAUUAAGUUGCAUAAGACCAUUAAUCAAAUUAAUUAAAAAGGACCAAGAUUUGUUAUAGCGCAGCAACCUAGCACAACUAACCAAAAUGCAACCCAAAGGAUAUAUAUAAGGAUAUAAAAGUGGCUAGGAAAUCCUUAUAGGUGUACAGAAUUAAAAUGCAGUAUGAAGUUGUAUUUAAAAGUGAUAGGAGAUUCAUGUUAUACUUGCCUUCCUCGUACUCUCCCGGCUGCUGCUCGAAGUGCUCGGAAGACGGCUGCUCCUGAUACUGCUCCAAAGGCUCCGCGUCUACUCACGAUCGUCAAACAUAGUCCACACAUACACACAUGCACAAACAAUAGCAAAAUAUAAGAAAACAGUACAACAUUACAUGGAAACAGUACAUGAAACUAGCCUAGAACUAAUCUACGCGUUACAACGAUCGCGUGCAUAUAAAGAACACUUAAAACGGAGCUAAAACGCGAAAACUGCGCUUAAAACAGGAUCCAGGGACCUAAUUGUAAGAAAAACAGGACUUCCAGGGCCUUCUGCACAAAAAACCGAGGACUAAAACCUAAUUAAACCCUAGAUACAGGGGCUAGCGCGUGAAAAGGCAUGGCUUGGACGGCGGGUUCAAAUUCCAGGAAACUCAGGGGGUCAAACGGAAAGAAAAGGACCUAUCUGCAAUUAUUUUUGACUCACGGGUGGACGGCGGGUUGAUUCCCCAAAAAGGCAGGGACUCUUUAGCAAAAGAGGCGGCUGAAACGGUAUGAUCUGUUCUGGGCCCUCGGAUCUGAUCUGUGCGGCUGGGAUUAGAUUCUUAAAGCGAAGGGGUACGCGAUGAUCUCAGCCUUUGGAUCGAGAUCGGACGGUCGGUAUUGGAUCUAGGUUUACUACUCGCGCUAUCCACCGGAUUUGAAUUGGACGGCCGAGAUUUAAAAUCCCGGCGAACCGGUACGCGCUGCUCGGGUCCCUCGGAUCUGAAUCGCACGGCUCAGAUCGAAGGGCUUCACGAUCUAAUCCUAUCCGUGAACGCCAGAUCGGACGGCCAGAGGGAACGGGGACUCCGGGGGCGGCGAUUUCUCGCCGGCGACCUCCCCCGUGGCGGUGCUUCACCGGAGUUUGCCAAUGUCGGGGCUCCGGGGGUUCUGGAUGGUCGGGAUCGUGCCGGGGAGAGAGGCUGGACCGCGGGGAAUUCGUCUAAGGGCUUGGGUCGGCUGAUUAGGGCUCGGGUAGGGGGUCUCCACGACGGGGGCGGCUCGGGCGGCGGUCACGCCGGCGGCGCUCGCGUUCCAGGUGUCACAGGUGGCUAAAGGCUGCCGCAGCUGGUGCAAAAGGACCAGAGCGCGAAGAGGGACUCACCGAGGGGGCUACGGUGCCCGGAGUGUGGCGGAGGAGGUGCAACGACGGCGACUGGCGGCAGCAGGACGACGGCGCUCGCGGGGAACGGUACUGCAGGCGUGGCCAGGGCCCUUAGCUGAGGUAGAUCGGCUCCAGGUAGUCCUGUGGAGAUGGCAGGGGGGUCAAAGGGGCGUGAGGAUCGCCGGCGGCGAGCAAUUGCGGAGGCGGCCGAACUUACCCGCGGCGGAGGGGAAAGAGACCGGUGGCGCUAGGGUUCUGGGUGGCGGCUAGGGCUUUAGGGUUGGGCGGCCCUUUGUAGGUGGCGCGGCGGUCCCACUGGCUCUUGGGCCCGGGAAGAGAGAGUCACCGGCGAGAUCGGAGUUCGUUGGGCGCCGGGAAACAGAGGACGGGGAGGAGAAAAGGAGGUGGGAGACGACGCUGACGUGCGGGGCCCGGCUGACAGAGGGAGAGGGCGAGCGGGGAUGGGCGAGCGCGCUCGGGCUGAGGGAAACGCGGCGCCGACAUGCGGGCCCGAGCGAUCAGUCAGAGAGAGGAGGAAAGGGGCCGGCGCUGAGGGGAAUUGGGCCGGGACUCGGCCCACGCGGGAAGAAAAGGAAAGGGGGAGAGAGAGAGCCCGCGGGUGAGGGAGAGGAGAGGGAAAAGGGGAAUUGGGCUGGGCCAAGGGUUUGGGGUUGGGCUGCGGGCUGCUUUCUUUCAUUCCUUUUUCUUUUCUAUACUCUACCCAUUCAAACAAAACCAUUUGAAUUCAAAUACCAUUUGAAUUCAAAUCUACACACUCAACACAAUUAAAACAAUGCUGUGGCAUGAAUGCACAAACACUUUAAUCCUAUGAUAAAUUUUAUUUUCUUGCGUUAUAAAAUAACUUUAAAUACGAGAUAAACUAGAGAAACCCUGGAAAAUCUAUUCGAGCCCAAAUAAAUUAAUUAAAAAUUUGAGGAAAUUACCUGAGGGUGUUACAAACCUACCCCCCUUACAGGAAUCUCGUCCCGAGAUUCGGAUAGGCUAGCUAGCAAAGAGGUCGGGAUAUGUCUUCCUCAGCUCGUCUUCUCGCUCCCAAGUAGCCUCAUCCUCCGUGUGAUGACUCCACUGAACACGGCACAUCUUGAUCUUCUUGUUUCUAGUAACCCUCUCAGAUGUCUCCAGAAUCUUCACCGGAUGCUCAACAUAGGUCAGAUCCUCCUGCACAUCCAACCCUUCUAUCGGUGCUUGCUCUUCUGGCACUCUCAAGCACUUCUUCAGCUGAGACACGUGAAACACAUCGUGUACUCCUGAGAGAUUGAGUGGCAACUCCAGACGAUACGCCACCUCGCCUUUCCGUUCCAACACCUUGAACGGACCAAUGUACCGAGGAGCUAGCUUCCCUCGUACAUUAAAUCUGCGAAUUCCUCUCAUCGGCGAGACCUUCAGAUAUACAUGAUCACCCACUGCGAAGGUCAAAUCUCGACGACGAACAUCCGCAUAACUCUUCUGACGAGUCUGAGCAACCCUCAGAUUCUCUCGCACCUGCUGUACCAACUGUUCGGCCUCCUCAACAAUAUCCGGACCAAACACCUGCCUCUCACCAAUCUGAUCCCAAUACAGCGGAGUCCUGCAUUUUCGACCAUACAGAGCCUCAAACGGGGACUUCUUCAGACUGGCUUGAUAGCUGUUGUUAUAAGAAAACUCUGCAUACGGCAGGCAUUUAUCCCAGCUGGUACCAUACUGAAUAGCGCAGGCUCGAAGCAUAUCCUCCAACACUUGGUUGGUUCUCUCUGUCUGUCCAUCUGUCUGAGGAUGAUAAGCAGUACUGAAGCGCAGCUUCGUAUCCAACGAAUCAUGCAACUGCUCCCAGAACCGUGAAGUAAACUGAGAUCCUCGAUCAGAUAUAAUCUUCUUAGGAACACCAUGCAGACAGACAAUCCUGGAGAUGUACAACUCUGCGAGUCUAGCACCGGAAUAAGUAGUGUUCACCGGAAUAAAAUGAGCCACCUUCGUCAACCGGUCCACUACUACCCAUAUGGAGUUGUACCCCUUCUGAGUACGAGGCAAGCCAACAAUGAAGUCCAUAGUGAUUUCCUCCCAUUUCCACUCUGGAAUCUUCAACGGCUGCAAUAACCCUGCUGGCCUCUGAUGCUCUGCCUUGACACGCUGACAAGUGUCACAGAUAGCCACGUACUCCGUAACGGAACGCUUCAUUCCAGACCACCAGAACCGUUCCUUCAGGUCGUAAUACAUCUUCGUGCUGCCUGGAUGGAUAGAAUAUGCGGUAUCAUGAGCCUCACUCAGAAUCAACUUCCUGAGAUCUGCCACAUCCGGCACACAUAUACGACCCUUGUACCACAAGGUACCCUGAUCAUCCUCUCUGAAAUGAGGGGCUUUGCCAAUCUUGAGCAACUCACGAAUCUCCUGCAGCUUCUGAUCUUCCUUCUGAUACUGCCUGAUCUCAGCCUCUAGGGUGGGUUCCGCCUCGAAUGAUGUACCCGAGGUAUGAUGCAAGAAACCCAGACUCAACUGCUCAAACUCCUCGCAUAACUCCUGAGGCAUCUGAAAAGCCACGGCCAUGUUAACAUAGCUCUUCCUGCUCAGAGCAUCUGCUACAACAUUAGCCUUGCCCGGAUGAUAGUGAAUCUCCAGGUCAUAAUCCUUGACCAACUCUAGCCAUCUUCUCUGUCGCAUGUUCAGCUCACUCUGAGUGAAAAUAUACUUGAGGCUCUUGUGAUCGGUGUAAAUAUCACACCUCUGCCCAAACAAGUAAUGCCUCCAUAUCUUCAGAGCAUGCACAACUGCGGCUAACUCCAGAUCAUGAGUGGGAUAAUUCAGCUCGUGCCGGCGCAACUGCCGUGAUGCAUAAGCUAUCACUCUGCCCUCCUGCAUCAGGACGCAACCAAGACCAUCCCUCGAAGCAUCACAAUACACUGUGAACCUCUUGCUCUGGUCUGGCAGCGUAAGGACUGGCGCCGUAGUCAACCUCUUCUUCAGCUCCUCGAAGGCCUUCUGACGCUCAUCAGUCCAAGAAAAACCCACGUCCUUCUCUAGCAAGGAAGUCAAAGGCUUCGCAAUUUUGGAGAAAUUCUCAAUGAACCUCCGGUAAUAACCUGCUAAGCCCAGAAAAGAGCGGACUUCCUUCACCGUCUGCGGUACAACCCAGUCAAGCACAUCCUUAACCUUUCCGGGGUCCACAGCAAUACCCCCUUGGAGAUAACAUGACCGAGGAACGGAACCUCGUCAAUCCAAAACUCGCACUUGCUGAGCUUGGCAUACAGCUUGUGCUCUCUGAGCCUCUGCAACACAAGCCUCAGAUGCUUCUCAUGCUCCGCUUCUGACUUGGAAUAUAUCAGGAUAUCAUCAAUAAAUAUCACCACAAAGGUGUCCAGAUAAUCCAUGAAAACCUUGUUCAUCAGAUGCAUGAAGAAAGCCGGAGCAUUAGUCAAUCCGAAGGACAUGACCGUAUACUCGUAUAACCCAUACUUGCAGGUGAAUGCCGUCUUCUGAAUAUCCUCAGGACGAAUCUUCAGCUGAUGAUAACCCGAACGCAGAUCAAUCUUCGAGAAUACACAAGCUCCCUGAAGCUGAUCAAAGAGAUCCUCAAUACGGGGCAAUGGAUGCUUGUUCUUGAUAGUGACUGCAUUCAGAUCCCGGUAAUCGACGCACAUUCUCUUCGCGCCAUCCUUCUUCUCUACAAGCAAUACAGGAAAAGCCCAAGGAGAGAAACUGCGACGGAUAUAACCCUUAGCUAGCAACUCGUCGACAGUCUUCUUAACCUCCUCAUGCUCGACGGGAGCCAUACGAUAGGGCCUCUUAGCAAUAGGAGCUGUGCCAGGCAAGAGAUCAAUAGAAAACUCAAUGUCGCGAUCAGGCGGCAUACCUGGCAAAUCAUCCGGAAAGACAUCCGGGAAUUCAGACACCACGCGAAUACCAUCCGUGGGUCUAGCCUCCAUCUGAUGAAGAAAUCCAGAAGGCUCCGUAGCUCCAACAGUGACCUCCUGACCAUCCGGUGCUGACAGAAGAACCGUCCUCUGAGCACAAUCUAUCCGGACUCCCCACUUAGCAAGAGUCUCCAUCCCAAGGAUCACAUCAAUGCCCUUGGAGUCUAGCACCAUCAGAUUCGCACUGAAAUCUACCCCCCUUAUGGCCACACUGACUCUGGGGCAGAAGACAUGAGACCUCAACUGCCCUCCCGGUGAAGACACUAUCAUGCACCUCUUUAAUGUGCUAGUAGGAAUACCAUGAUGCUCAACAAAAGACUGGGUGAUGAAAGAAUGUGUAGCACCAGUAUCAAAAAGCACUGUAGCAGGAUGGGCAUUAACCAUGAACGUACCAAUAACCACGUUGGGAGCCUCGGCCGCUGACUCGGCCGUCACGUGGUUUACCCUGCCCUGAGCUGGGGCCUUGGGCGGUGCUGCACGGCCCUGCUGUCCUGACUGCGCCUUCCGAGGGCAGACGUUGGCGUAGUGCCCUGGCUCGCCGCAGUGGAAGCACACUCGAGGAAGUGCCGGAGCCUGCUGCCCAGGAGGAGGAGUGGGCGCUCCCUGCCUCUGAGCUGGUGGAACCGGAGGCGCCGGAAGCCUCUAACCCUGUCCCGCCUGCUGCUGCUGCUGAGGACGAGGCGGAAACUGCUGCCGCUGCUGGUAUUGCUGGGGCGGCCUCUGCUGCUGCUGCUGCGGAGGGUACUGGUAGCGGGGACGGGUGUUGCUGCCCGAAGAGGAUGGAGCCAUCUUCCUCUUCUUAUCCUCAAUCUCCCGGCGCUUGCGCUCGGUGUUGAGGGCCGCAUCAACCAGCUGGUUGAAGUUGUCGAAGCGGUGGUUCAGCAGCGCAUACUGGAUGUGAUCAUCCAGUCCCUCCUUGAAGUACUCCUGCUUGUCGCUAUCACGAGCGACGUCAGCAGGGGCGUAGCGGGCAAGCUGAAGAAAACGGUCACGAUACUCCGUCACCGUCAUAGAUCCCUGAAAUAACGAACAUGGAUGACAAGGAUGGAAAUCGCUCAAUUGGUCAGAUUUUACGAAAGAAAUCAAGGACAGAUCAAGCUCAAAAGAAUUUGGUAAGGAAUUUCCGUUAAAUUUUACCUGCUUGAGGGCACGGAACUCCUUCUGCUUCAUCUUCAUGAUGCCCUCAGGAAUGUGAUGGUUCCUGAAACGCUCACGGAACUGGUCCCACGUGAGAGCCUCACGAUCCCGAGCUGGGUAGGACUCCCACCAGUCAAGAGCGGAGCCUCGCAGCUGCCCGGCUGCGUAAAGGACUCGCUCACGGUCGUCGCACUGCGCAACAACCAACUGGCGCUCCACCGAACGAAGCCAGUCGUCCGCCUGGAGUGGGUCCGUGGCGUGAGAGAAGGUCGGAGGAUGACCUCUCAGGAAGUCCGCACGCCGAUCACGAGGCUGAGGUGGCGGAGGAGGCGGCGGCUGGGCAUGGAUCUGCUGCAGAGCCUGAACGGUGUUGUUCAGGGUAGCCAUCAUCUGCAUCUGGAGCUGGAAGAACUGCUCCGGGGUCAGUGGUGGCGGCAUCGGUAGCGGCUGACCGGUACUCUGGUUGUUCUGCUCCUGCUGGUCAGAACCGGAACCGGUGCGCCUGGUGUUCACCAUCUGAUGGCAACAAACGAAAUUUAUGAGAAUAAGCUAUGGUGCCGCUGAGGAGAUGAAACUUCGAUAGGAUAUAACAGGGAAAAAGGAUUAUAGGUUUUACCCCCAACGAUCUAGCUCAAUUUUUUUAUUAUUUAGUCCAAGUUGGGUUAGGUCGAUUUGCAUGAACAAGUUUAACUACUAGCCUAUGCAAUCAACCAAAAAUCCAAAUCAAACAUUUGCACAAUAACAAACAUUCAAUAUUCACAAAUUAGUCGAGUUUUCCACACUACUCGACCAACACACUCGUUCUAGCGUAUUUUUAUCGGGACAACUUAAACUUAUAACUUACAAGAUUAGGCAACUCAGGCCAACGUCUAUGGAAAGUUCAAGCUGUUUCUCAGAAAAGACAGGAGAAAUAGCAAAUCAAGGGUUUAAGACUCAAGGAAUAGAAGCAGAAACGUGAUGGUUGAGGAUUUGCGGAGGCAAGCAAAAGAAAAGAAGUCCUAAACUCGACCAAUUCUACCUAGGCUUCGUCCUACAGUCAACACGGCUCUGAUACCAAUCUGUCACACCCGAUUUAUAAGAACAUAAAUCGAGCAAUCAUAUAUGCGCCAGGAUCAAGUCACGCAUAUAUACAACAGAUUAUCAAGAUAUCACAACACAUGUCACGAAUAACAUUAAUAUAAAUCGUAAAUAGAUCAUGAAUAAAUUGUUUCAUUACAACCGAAUCAAGAAUCGGUUCAAGAGUUGCGGAAGCGUAAAAGAGAUACAUGAAAAGCUGGGCGCCACAGGGACGUCGACUGGGAGACAAACGCCUAGAAGUCGUCGAAGCCGCUGACGUAGUCCUCCACGUUGCCGGGCACUGAGCAGCAGUCGAAGAUAGCCGAAAUGGAACAGAAGAAUAGAGAGACAAGUGUGAGUACAAACUCGUACUCAACAAGUAUAACACGAGCAUGAGGCUCUAAGGUUAGCUGACUCAACUGCAUUAGCUUUUAGUCUUGGCAAAUUUUAUUAAAACUAAUUACUACAAGUGGAUGAGUUACCAUAACCCGAAUUGCAUAAGAAUUAAUCAAUAUUAAUUAGGAACUACUGAGAACUAUCCAACCAAAACCACCCGGGGAAUCGCCCUCGUCAAAGGUUGAUAACCCCACUAAUCAGACGGAGGAUCUGGGCCGCUCAUGACUGUGAGCACAGCUGAUAUAUCAGUUUUACACUCUCGAGAGGUUGCACAACUUUACCCACAAGUCGUGAGCUACGCUAGUUGUUCAUCACACUUCCUUAGGUGAGAUGGCUAGCAAGCGCACUACGAGACCGUUACAAAGGAUCACGUUGGUAAGGUGUAACCGCUAAGGAUUCUGGAUCAGCGACGAUGGGGCCCACCUCCGGGGGUACAAGACACACAGCACAGACCAAGCCGGAGGAGCAGGGACCAUUGAAGCUUACCACCCCUCUUGCCCACGCAGGUAAGUUACUCCCGAACCAAAAUGACCUAAUUAGUAAGUCAAGACCGUCCCAUACCAGUCUUGUGGUUGCGCGGUUGUCCCAGGUUGUCGCUCUAUGAACCGGUCCUUAUGGAGAGUGGCCAACCAAGCACUAAGCACCGUGCUGGCCCCCUAAACCAUGUUUCUAGCAAAACACCUUUUAAGGACGCACAAACCACUCAAGCACACAGCACAGAGGGUCGGCUCCAGAAUUAAGUUGCAUAAGACCAUUAAUCAAAUUAAUUAAAAAGGACCAAGAUUUGUUAUAGCGCAGCAACCUAGCACAACUAACCAAAAUGCAACCCAAAGGAUAUAUAUAAGGAUAUAAAAGUGGCUAGGAAAUCCUUAUAGGUGUACAGAAUUAAAAUGCAGUAUGAAGUUGUAUUUAAAAGUGAUAGGAGAUUCAUGUUAUACUUGCCUUCCUCGUACUCUCCCGGCUGCUGCUCGAAGUGCUCGGAAGACGGCUGCUCCUGAUACUGCUCCAAAGGCUCCGCGUCUACUCACGAUCGUCAAACAUAGUCCACACAUACACACAUGCACAAACAAUAGCAAAAUAUAAGAAAACAGUACAACAUUACAUGGAAACAGUACAUGAAACUAGCCUAGAACUAAUCUACGCGUUACAACGAUCGCGUGCAUAUAAAGAACACUUAAAACGGAGCUAAAACGCGAAAACUGCGCUUAAAACAGGAUCCAGGGACCUAAUUGUAAGAAAAACAGGACUUCCAGGGCCUUCUGCACAAAAAACCGAGGACUAAAACCUAAUUAAACCCUAGAUACAGGGGCUAGCGCGUGAAAAGGCAUGGCUUGGACGGCGGGUUCAAAUUCCAGGAAACUCAGGGGGUCAAACGGAAAGAAAAGGACCUAUCUGCAAUUAUUUUUGACUCACGGGUGGACGGCGGGUUGAUUCCCCAAAAAGGCAGGGACUCUUUAGCAAAAGAGGCGGCUGAAAUGGUAUGAUCUGUUCUGGGCCCUCGGAUCUGAUCUGUGCGGCUGGGAUUAGAUUCUUAAAGCGAAGGGGUACGCGAUGAUCUCAGCCUUUGGAUCGAGAUCGGACGGUCGGUAUUGGAUCUAGGUUUACUACUCGCGCUAUCCACCGGAUUUGAAUUGGACGGCCGAGAUUUAAAAUCCCGGCGAACCGGUACGCGCUGCUCGGGUCCCUCGGAUCUGAAUCGCACGGCUCAGAUCGAAGGGCUUCACGAUCUAAUCCUAUCCGUGAACGCCAGAUCGGACGGCCAGAGGGAACGGGGACUCCGGGGGCGGCGAUUUCUCGCCGGCGACCUCCCCCGUGGCGGUGCUUCACCGGAGUUUGCCAAUGUCGGGGCUCCGGGGGUUCUGGAUGGUCGGGAUCGUGCCGGGGAGAGAGGCUGGACCGCGGGGAAUUCGUCUAAGGGCUUGGGUCGGCUGAUUAGGGCUCGGGUAGGGGGUCUCCACGACGGGGGCGGCUCGGGCGGCGGUCACGCCGGCGGCGCUCGCGUUCCAGGUGUCACAGGUGGCUAAAGGCUGCCGCAGCUGGUGCAAAAGGACCAGAGCGCGAAGAGGGACUCACCGAGGGGGCUACGGUGCCCGGAGUGUGGCGGAGGAGGUGCAACGACGGCGACUGGCGGCAGCAGGAUGACGGCGCUCGCGGGGAACGGUACUGCAGGCGUGGCCAGGGCCCUUAGCUGAGGUAGAUCGGCUCCAGGUAGUCCUGUGGAGAUGGCAGGGGGGUCAAAGGGGCGUGAGGAUCGCCGGCGGCGAGCAAUUGCGGAGGCGGCCGAACUUACCCGCGGCGGAGGGGAAAGAGACCGGUGGCGCUAGGGUUCUGGGUGGCGGCUAGGGCUUUAGGGUUGGGCGGCCCUUUGUAGGUGGCGCGGCGGUCCCACUGGCUCUUGGGCCCGGGAAGAGAGAGUCACCGGCGAGAUCGGAGUUCGUUGGGCGCCGGGAAACAGAGGACGGGGAGGAGAAAAGGAGGUGGGAGACGACGCUGACGUGCGGGGCCCGGCUGACAGAGGGAGAGGGCGAGCGGGGAUGGGCGAGCGCGCUCGGGCUGAGGGAAACGCGGCGCCGACAUGCGGGCCCGAGCGAUCAGUCAGAGAGAGGAGGAAAGGGGCCGGCGCUGAGGGGAAUUGGGCCGGGACUCGGCCCACGCGGGAAGAAAAGGAAAGGGGAGAGAGAGAGCCCGCGGGUGAGGGAGAGGAGAGGGAAAAGGGGAAUUGGGCUGGGCCAAGGGUUUGGGGUUGGGCUGCGGGCUGCUUUCUUUCAUUCCUUUUUCUUUUCUAUACUCUACCCAUUCAAACAAAACCAUUUGAAUUCAAAUACCAUUUGAAUUCAAAUCUACACACUCAACACAAUUAAAACAAUGCUGUGGCAUGAAUGCACAAACACUUUAAUCCUAUGAUAAAUUUUAUUUUCUUGCGUUAUAAAAUAACUUUAAAUACGAGAUAAACUAGAGAAACCCUGGAAAAUCUAUUCGAGCCCAAAUAAAUUAAUUAAAAAUUUGAGGAAAUUACCUGAGGGUGUUACAGCGUGACACGCUCAAAAGCAUUUACUAGGCUCUCGGAGUGCCGAUGCAGUGCGUGAGCCACCAUGUAGUUCACCUCCUGGCGCAGAGCUCUGGUACGAUCCUCUGAAGGGGUGGAUAAGUCCACGUCAUCAAGAGCGCCUUCAGGUGAGAACCCCUUCCACCUAACACCGUGGUGACGGGUUCUUUCAAAAGAGCCGAUGAGAUCGGCUUUGAAGAGAGUCUUGAUCUCAUCAUAUUUCUGCUUAUGCUCAGCAGGCAGCUCCUCAUACAUGAUUGGAUCCUCCCCCGGCAUCCCGACAGCUGAAGUUGAUGUAGUCGACGAAGAUGGUCCCACUGGGCGUGCCAGAAUGUGUUGUCGGUCAAAACCCACCGGCGAGCAGCGCCAGGCAACACGAGGAGCCGGGAGGCUUCCGGGACUGCUGGUGGGCCCCGGUCCCUCGGUCAACGUCCUAGGAUCCGGCACACGACCUUGCGUCUAGGUUUGCUAGGCGUACCACCUGACCUAUACCUGAUCAGGAAGGUAUAGAUAUAGUUUUAUUUCUGCACACACAGACACAUGUAAAAAUUAGUCCGAGCCGUGAUCGGCUCAUCGGGUGACCCUGCUAUCGGCUGUAAAGAGCCGAUUGUCUCCCAGUAUCAAAUCGGAUCUAUAUAUAUGAACGAAGUGCAUAUAUCUGGUACUAAAAUGAACUUGCUCUAUAAACAAUAAGCUGAUUCAGUCCACGACGGUUAAAGCUUUCACGCAUAAUCGGAACAUCCUACAAAUGACUAAGCCUAGCAGAUACGAAAGAUAAUAGAAUAGCAACCUAAACAAGGGCCUAAAAACGAACUGAGAGACGAUUCCCGAAACAAUCCCUCUUUAGAUUGAUAAAAGGCAUCAAACAUACUGCCGGAACAUUCAACCCGUUUAAAGGGCCUAACCAUGCGGAUAUUAAGCUAAAUCUUUGAUGAUCAGAGACCAACCAUAACAGAUUGGAUCUACUAACUGAAAUAGAGCAAGGUUGUAAUGCCUGCAUUUUUAUCUUAUUUAAAUUGUGUUACCAAUCCCUCGCUUAAAAAUCUUUUAAACCUUUUCCGCCGCUUGAGCUCCCGAAGCCCACCUCCUGAUUUUCCCACCGUUCCGACAUCGCGCAGUCUCUUCCUCUUUUUCCGCAGAGCCGCUCGUCCCUUUUCCUUUUCCACUAGCCCCGCCGUCCUGUUACAUCACCAUCGUGUUCCGGUCGGCCGCGUGCGCCUGCCCGGCCGCGAUCGUCGGCGCCACGCGCAUGUCCUAUCUUUUCUUUUCUCAUAUUUUGUUCAAAUCCAUUUUAUUUCUCUCUUAAAACUUUUUUCCCAGACUCUUUUUUUUUGCGCUGGCUUCCUCUUUCUUUUUCUCCCCUGUGCUGCCUGCUGCCUGCUCAAGCUGUAGCCCGCUCCUUGCACGCACACGCGGGCCAGCGCAUGACCCGCCGCUGCCCCCAUUGCUGGCCGUGCACGUGCGCUCGUAUCACGCCGCCCGCGUCACGCCACGGCCGCCGCGGCCGCUGCCACUCACUGUGCCGCUGCGUGCCUGCUGCCCGUGCACGCCAGCCCGUCUCCAUCCCGUCCCCUCGCCCUCGCAGCUCGCGCUUUGUCCCCGAGCAUCUCGGCCUCCAUUAUUGGCAAGGCUCCUGUACUGCCCAUGACCCCCCCAUGCCGGCCAUCUCCCCUCUUCCUCUCGGCCUAUAAAUCAGAACCCAAACCGCCCCUCACUCCGCCCACACCACCCCAACACCUCUCCUCCUCUACCUCACACUGCAGCUCGCCGCCGCUACUCACCAUUGCCGCCCACCACCCAUCACCGUGGACAGCCAUCCGUAGACCGUCUCCGCACGAGGUGAGGGCCGGAAUCGGACCCCCUCGGCCUCCUCUCUAUUUUUCCCCCUCCCCGGGUGUUGCCAUGCGCCAGGGGGCCGGCGCCCAUGGCCUGGCCGCCCCCCUCCUACCAUUCCCCUCCCCCUCCUGUUCUGUCUCGAGGAAGAAGAAAGGCAGACUUGUGCAAAACCCCCUCCACUUUUCCUCCUUUUGCAGUCCGCAGCCCCCCAUUUCAUGCGACAUUAUGUUCUGAAUCGAUUCCAAACUCCACCACGCAUCAAAUAUUCUCUCCAAGUCUCAAGAUCCAAAUCCAACAAAUAUAAUAGUCUCCUCUACUUUUUAAUCGAAGCUCUCUAUUUCCCUUUUUUUAGCUCGUCGGCGAACUUUGUUUUUAUUGUGUGAUUGUUUGUGUAUUGUAGCCGACAGUGUGACUGAGGAGGAGCAGGACCGCGAGCCGGAGCCCGAAGACCCGUACCUUGAGGAGAAGCUUCCGGAAGGCUUUGAGGACGGCAAGUCCAAUCCCAUCCUUUGAUGCAUAUUUAUCCCAGUUUUAUAAACGCAACCUAUUGGCCUGUUUUAUAAAAUGCAUUAUUUUAUUGCAAGACAUGGUUGGAUAGCCACCCCUUGAUUACUAUGACUAUUCCUUGAUGACCUAAGUUAAUAUCUAUAUAGGAUUUGCUCUGUUGGACGUUAACUACUGCUAGAGAUGCUUGUUACCUUUUAUUCCCUUUAUUAUAUUUUAAUCAUGACCACAAAUCGAUUUAUCGAAAAUAAGGGUGUGAGUGUUUUAAAAGAUAAAACGGGAUUUCGGGAAAAUAAAAGAAAGAUAUAACCUGAUGAGAUGGACGGCAUUUUCUGUGUGAAAUACCACUGGUGAGCUUGUACCUUUGUGGUUGAGCAUGGUUGGGAGAUGUCCGUCUUGUCAAUGUAAGGAUGAACUGAGGUGUCAUCUUGCCUAACCCACUUAUCAUACAACCACUCGACCGUUGUGUGGGCAACGACUUAACAUAAACCCCACUAGUUGUUCUGCUAGCCAAAAAGGAGAGCAGGUGAGCAACGGGAGAUCAUGGAGAAGAAAUACGAUCUGUGUGAGUUAUGUACGGUUAUGACCUUAUUGAUAGGUCAUUAACCCCAUGGUUGCUUCCGUGUUGGCUAGUUAGAUUCAGCUAGGGUGGGUAAUGGCUUUGUUAGGAUCCGCAGCGACAUUAAGGUGUUCGUAGUGCGGUACCCUACUUGUGGGUAAAGUGUACAACCUCUGCAGAGUGUAAAAUCUAUUCGAAUAGCCGUGUCCACGGUAUUGGACGAGUUACGGCAUGGUCACUUCAAUAGACAUUUUGGGAUGGUUGGUUUUGUGGCGUGAGUUGUUUUGAAAGUGCCCGGCAGUUGUGCCGUAUGCUACUGUGGACGUGGAGUCCGGUAGCAUUAAAACAUGGAUCCUUUGUGUAUGAUCAACCCCACUUAUUAUUCGAUUACUACAGAAAUGUCUUGGGAAAACUCUUUUAUUAAAUGAACCCUUGCAUGUGUAAAAUCUCGCUUUUAUCGCAAAUGAACCCUAGCCUCAUCCUUGAUAUAUCCUGUGCAUGAUCUUUAUUAUUCCCCUCCGUGGGUGUGGUUGGACUUGUUGAGUACGUAUGUACUCACUCUUGCCUAGUUUUUACAGAGGAGGAUCCGAACUUUGUUCCUGAAGACGUCGAGUAGGUCGCCGUCCUGCACCCAAUCUUGCCUGUGGUUCAGGGUCUCCACUGGAAGCUUACCAUGGUGCAAGACUCUGAUGUUAUCUUAGAUUUCGUUGCCACUUUGGUUUGGUUUGUAGUCCUUAUGUUGUCCCUCUUGAUAGUGGUGCUUCAGUGCCCGCUACCUCGACGGUUUGUACGGUAAUGAACCAUCUGUUGUAAUAAAUGUGUUAUCAGUCUCCUGGGACUGAUAUUUGUAUCAUAUUUAGUCACCUCUGAUGAGGGGAUGCUUCAGGUGGUAUCAGAGCCGUAGGUUAGCCGUAGGACGCGACCCUUAGGACUGAGGACAUUUUCUAAGCCAUUUCCCACUAGAUCUUUCCCCACUUAACUCACCUUUCCACACGGCACUUACCUUUGGCUCUUGUCUGGUUCCAGAUGGCUGACAAUGGAUGGAGUGAUGGAAUCUGCCCCGCAGAGCCUGGCCUCCCGAAGUUAUUGCUACUAAGCCUAGAACGUGUCGGAGUUGUGGACAGACCGGAGUACACCUACCGGGAGUACAACUUCAGAGGCACCCUUCAGUGUGACCUGAUGAUCUUCGUGGGAAAAAGCACACUUUACCCUGACAUGGAUCCCUGGUUCAUCUCCACUACUAGCUUUGGGUUCCUAGAAACCUACCGAAAGGCUGCCCGAAAAGCCCUGCGAUGCCUAUGCGUGGUCUAUAAGCAUCAUCUUCAGCAAACUCCUAUGGGAUUUUUCCCACCUGCUGGAGGAAGAGGACACUCAUGGAUUGCCCGGAUAAGAGGAUUAGGAAGGGAAGAAGAAGAACUAGAAGAUACAGUUUCCCACCUGUCCAUUUACCUCACCGGCCUAGACCGACUUUACAGCAAACAGACAAAACAACUAAAGCACCAAAUCCGCAAGGCAGAAAAGGCAGAACAAGAGUUGGAAAUACAAUGGAGGAGAACAAUAGAAGCUGAGGCACAAGCCGAGAGUUCCCUAGCCUCUCUCCAAGACAUAUGGCGAAGCAACGCUCAAGGAAGGGAACGUAUCAGGGCACGCAGAAGAGAAGCGGGAUUACUGGAAGGAGAACCCGAAGAAACCCAUUGGGAUAAGGGCACUCAGACCGAAGAUGAGGUAUUGGAGCAAUGUCUUCCGCCAAAGAAGCGACCUAACCGGAUCGGGGAAGAAUCCCCUUGGGAGGAGUAGAGUACUUAAGCUAGAGCUAUCAUCCUAGUAAUAAUAUAUCCUUGGGAGAUGUACCCGAUCCUAAUGAAAAAUAAAGACCGUCUAUCCUUCUUGUACCCUACCAUAUGUGCAAGGCUUGUUCACUCUACCUUUGUUUUCAGAUGGCUGAGAAUGGUUGGACCCAGGGCGUUUGCCAAGAAGAGCUUGGUUUCCCCCGCCUUUUGAUCAACUCCCUGGAGCACCUCGUUGUUACUGAGCGCCCAAGGUACUACAGCAGAGAGUACAAACACCUCGGCACUCUUCGCUGUAGGGUGGUUCUUUCCAUUGCUAGAAGCACUCGCUACCCCGACAUCGAGCCGUGGCGAGUGACUGCUACAGGAUUUCAACAUCGGGAUGCCUAUCCCUUGGCCAUCAGAAAGGCUCUCCGCUACCUGUGCCGGAUCUUCGAGGAACACCUCAUUCCCACACCGAUGAGGCUUUUUCCUCCAGCCAUCAGGACGCAAGUCUGGCAGGCCCGCAUGAGGAACUUAGAACGGUGCCGCCAUCAAGAAGACCUUUUGUACCAUGUGGUUGCUUACCUCGUCUCCUUGGACAAGCUCUUCGAUGAGCAAGCCCGAUUCCUAAGGGAGCAAACCCACCAGGCCGAGCAAGAUGAGCUUGCAGUGAGGAUGCACCAAUUCCGAGUGGCUCAAGCUGAAGCAAGGACCACGGCUGCUAUAAGUAGCGAGGUCGUCGCUCAUAAAAACCUCAGGCAGAUCCAGGAUCGGCGCAUGCAAGAAUGGACCAGCAGUGGAACGGCCGUCUCGGCAAUCGGGGAGACCCAAGUCCUAAUUGGAACACCCAUCAUAGGAUGGGGAGGACUUUUUGGGACCCCGCAAGCUCCACCCGAAGGUGCCAAAAGGUCAGCUGCAGCCGCAGAAGAAGGAGCUGUCGAACAGCCUCGAGAAAAUGGGAUCCUCGAGGACGACGAGGAAGAGCUACUUAUUCCACUGGAAGUGCACUCCGCCCCGGAAGACGACUCGCCCCGCGAGUAGCAUGCCUCAGAGAUGCCCCCAGGGAUGAAGCCAUCCCGGCCCCAAGCUUAGAGUUUUGCCCCUCCCAUCUGUUGUGCCCUUUGUACCCGACCGUGUAGUGCGUGUUUUGGUUGUACCCUCCCAAGUGUUGUACCCCCAGCUUAAUAAAUAAAACUGUUUGUGCUUGAUGCUUGUUAGUCUGUGUGCUUGUUGGCAGUAGGUGGAUUCUGCCUUUUCGAAAAUACAAAAAUAAAACAUCACUUAAUUCCAAAUCUAAAUCUCAUAAAAGUUUUACCCAAUCCACAGAUGGCCCCCAGGCGUAACACCAGGACCUUCCAAAGUCAGGCACAUACCACUCCAAGUGCGCAGAGGCAACAGGGUGUGCAAGGACAAGCCCCCGGCCAUGAAGAUCAGGAAGUAAGCCAGCGGGGAGGAGAAAGCCAAGUAGGAGCACGUUAGGCCCCACCCCCACCGGCCAUUGACCUGGUGCAAGUGUUGAACAACCAGAACCUCCUACUGGAAGCUUUGACCAAUGUCAUCAGAAACCCAAGGCCCUGUGAGCAGAGUACAAAUGACAAACUGACAGCUUUUCUGAGGACCAAGCCACCCACCUUUGCAGGAUCCUACAACCCCUUGGAUGCAGAUGACUGGCUGCGUGUUAUCAAGAGAAAACUCGAACCAUUUGAGCAUGGAGACCGUGACAAGGUCCGUUUGGCUGCUCACCAGCUCACUGGAACUGCUUUGUCUUGGUGGGAGAACUACUGUGCAGCUGCUCAGGAUGCCUCCACUAUCACUUGGAAGGAAUUUGUGGAUGAGUUCCAUCGCUAUCACAUCCCAGCAGCCACCAUGAAGUGCAAGGCAGAUGAGUUCCGUGAGCUGCAACAAAGCAACAAGUCCGUUGAGGAGUACACAUAUCAAUUCAUAGAACUGGCUCGCUAUGCACUGGAGGAAGUAGACAAGGACGAAAAAAGCAAGAUAUGUUCAGAAAGGGUUUAAAUGCAGAACUUAAGAAGCUACUUUCCCCAUGCAUCUACCCAGACUUCAACACACUGAUGAACAUGGCUAUCAUCACCGAGACAGCCAUGGCAGAGGAAAAGAGAGACAAUAAGCGUAAGUUCCUGGAAAGCAAGGCUCGCCAGCAGGACCGUUUCCAGAAGCCGAGGCACUUCGGCCCUCCAGUGCCUAGGUCCCAAGCCCCUAUGCAGUACAGGACCCAGUCACAAGCUACUGGCUCUCAGGCCCCAACACUCAGUGUAGGCAAUUCAAGAGCCAGAACACCAUGAAGGCCCCACAGAACAAUGCAAGCCAAGUUACUGCCAGCAACAAUGCCCGAGCAUGCUUCAACUGCCGUGAGACAGGGCACUUCAUUGCCAACUGCCCAUAUACCAAUAACAAGCCGGCAGCAUCAGCCUUCUCCAACUCGAUGAAUGGACCAAGGCCAGCUCUAUCAGGAGCCAAUCGUGUACCCAUCCGCAGUAACAAUACUGGCAACAACAACCAGCAGAUGGGGCCGCCCCAGCAGUCCUUCGGACGAGCCCGCGUCAACCACAUCAACGCGCAUGAGGCUCAGGACGCUUAGUGCUCGGUGAGUUUCUAGUCAGCUCAGUUUUGGCAACAAUAUUAUUUGAUUCUGGAGCAUCACAUUCAUUCGUAUCCUCAAGUUUUGUGGAAAAGCACAAUAUACCUACAGUAUUACUAAAAACAUCCCUAUUAACCCGAACGCCUGGAGGUGACAUUAAGUGUCGACUGGGUUGUUCUCGGGUAAGGAUCAUUUUAAGUGGGGUAGAGUUCCUAGCAGACCUAGUUGUACUUAAGUCUAAAGGUAUAGAUGUGAUUCUUGGAAUGGAUUGGCUAAGCCUGCACAAUGGCCUUAUAAGUUGUGCUGACAAGGUGGUACACCUAUCCAACCCAGAAGGAGUACAAGUAACCUGCCAUACUCGGGGAAGUGGAUCGGACCCAAUGGUUUUUAGUAUGGAAGCUAAAUCCUUGGAAGAAGUUCCAGUAGUAAAUGAAUACCUAGAUGUUUUCCCUAAAGAACUCCCGGGAAUGCCGCCAGAUAGGGAUAUAGAGUUUGUCAUUGACCUUAUCCUUGGAACCUCCCCUAUAGCUAAGAGACCUUAUAGGAUGGCAGCCUCCGAAUUGGCAGAACUAAAGAAACAACUGGAAGAGUUACAACAAAGUGGUUUCAUUAGACCAAGCUCAUCACCAUGGGGAGCUCCGGUCUUGUUCGUCAAGAAGAAGGAUGGAAGCAUGAGGAUGUGCGUGGAUUACCGUGCACUAAAUGAAGUCACCAUCAAGAACAAAUACCCCCUUCCCAGAAUUGAUGACCUCUUUGAUCAGCUGAAGGGAGCCAAGUAUUUGUGGCAGAACCGCCUGAAUUAUUCCAGCUCAAGUGCGCUAAUGAUUGCUGUUCAUCUGCAAUCAGCUCCACGCACUUCAAACGGAACAAUCCCUUGGUCUGUCGGGUCUCCGCCCGAUACAACCACGGUUCAACAGGAUCGAGGCAGGUUUACCUCGCACGAAGGCGAGUUCACAUCACAGAAUAGCUCAUCAACUUUUAAUGUACAGCCAUACAUACAUUAUUAUAACCGAGUUCAAAGAAAAGUAAACUUAUACAAACCAUGUUCAAACUGACAAGCAUAACAGCUUGUUCAAAUUCACAGCGGAAGAAAAAGUUUUACGCGACUACACACGUCGCGAAAGCGGACACCAAGCUUAGCCCAGUGCCUGGUGUCACUCCGGAGGGUCACUGCCGGCCGGGAACGGGUCCCACUCCACGGACCAGCCAUAGGGAACGGACGUUGGCCACACAAGGUUGUCCGUGGGAUUCUCGAAGGUCAUACCUGAAACAGAUAUUGGCAAGGCUGAGUAUUCUAAUACUCAGCAAGGCUUACCCGGGAUUGGGUAUACUUUAGCCCGUAACUAGACUCAUGAAGGCAUUGUAAAGGCUCUGGGUUUAUUUUCAGCUGAAAAGCAACAGAGAGUAUAAACUACUUUCAAGUUUUAGCUUUCAGAUUCUAGCUUGAUUAGCUAUUCUAGGUAAGCACCUAUACUAAACAAGCAAGAUAGAGAUUAUCAUCCAUCAAGAUUAUUCCAUCAACAAUUACACUUUUUACUCGAUGUGGCAGAAGGAAUAAGCAGUCUCAAUCCUCGUGAGAGGCGGACGAUCCGAAUCGAAUUUAACCUUGCAAGGUAAACCUAACUCACACGCUCGGAAUACCAACAGGGCGUUCCAAGCAACUGUUUCCCUCAUAUUCCGGGUUAUGGAUCAGGGCCACCACAAGCGACUGCAGGACCAUACGCACAUCACUCGUGCAGGAUAUACGUCUGUAGCGCGACUACAAAACCCGUAUUCCUGUCUGCCAUGCAGAACGUACUCCCACACGUCGGUGCGUGUAAACAUAAAAUAAAAUCGAGUGGUGGAAGCGCGUCCAUUUGCCGGGCCAAUCGGGUACUAGGCUUACCGCUUACCAUAUUUCGCGGCAUGUGGCUAGUACUUUCAAAAGCUUAGCCACCACUACCACACAUUUCGACCUUAAAACUUUUAUCAAAAUAGACAGGGUAAACCACAGGUCAUGAUACGGCACAUGACCCUGUCCAUUAUCCUUAUAAUGAUUGCGGAAUCGUAAACAAGCAACUCCUAUAUCGCGCGAGUGACAGGAAAUCACCCGACUUUUACCGGUCCUAUUUAGCGAAGCAUCUAAGCGAUAAGGACUCAGGUUCAAUAUAUUGGAUUCCUAGGAUUCAUGCAUCUAGGGUUUCACUUCAAUUCCUAGACUUGAUGCAAGAUAUAAUAUAGAUAGACAUAUAUUACAGUGUAAAUAAAGUAGUGGGAUAUGUCCGGGGCUUGCCUUCUUGAGUGGGGUUAGGGGCAGGAGUGUCAGAGGCUUUCGAAUUCGGUUUUGGGGCUUCAGUUAGUCCCUCGACGACUUGCGUUGGGUCUUCUGGAAAGCCUUGGUCUUGUCCUAAGGCCAAUUCGUAGUCCCCGUCGUUGAGCGUCGUUGAUUCUAUAUGAAAUGCAAUAAAUUAAAUAAGGUGAAAUUUAAAUUUAAGAUUCCACAUUUCAAAUAUUAUAACUCAUCCAGUUAACACACUAGAAUUCAUAAAAUAAAGAGAGUUUAGGUUUGAAACACUAUUUAUAAAGGAAUUACAAAGAUAUUGUGGAGUUUGUUACAAACAAGGACUAAAACAUUUAAAUUUGAAUUGGAAGUAAACCAAAAUUUCAAUUCAAAACUUUAAAUAAAAGAUCAUAGGUUUUGGAGAUUUGAUUAUACAUUAAGCAUCAGAUAAUAUCACAUUAGAGAAUGACAACAGAUCUCAAUUAGCAAGGGUUAUACAACAGGUUUAGUUAAUAUUUCAAAUUUGAAAGUUCAAAUUAAAAGAAGUUAAGUUUAAAUCAAAUUUGGAUUUGAAGCUUUGCACAAAGUUACCUAGAGCUUAUAGAACAUUCAUGCCAAACUUUAUAAGCAACAAAGCAUGAAAUAUCAAGGUUAAGCAUAAACUACUCCUUAAUCUUAGGUUUAAAAUAGAGGUAAAAGUGUUCUGUUUUACACUAAACUUCCUUAACAGAAGCUAUAGAGUUUGAAAUCUAGUUUCUAACAAAACUAGUUGUCAUUUUUGAAAUUUUCUGUGAAUUGCUAUGAAUUUUACAAGACAGAACAUGUUCACACAUGAAAUAACAGCCACUCCUUUACAAACUAGUCCCUAGCUUUAAUAGGUAACCCCCUGGAAAGAACUCAGUCAUUGCAAUCAGGUCCAGGGGCCAUGGCCGGCGAUGGGGGGCUCGGGUCCGGCCAAAUUCGGCCGUAGGACUCGCCGGCGGUGAGGGGCAAGGGGAGGGAGAGCAUGAGGGAACCCUGAGCUACCUAUUGGUGGUCUUGGAGGGGCUCGAGGUGGCCGGAGACGAGCUGCCCACGGGAGGCCGAACCGGCGGCCGGAGGGGUGCGGCGGCGGUGGGGCUCCGGCGUCCGAGGGAGGAAAGGGUCGGGCUGGGGAGGUGCGGUGGGGGAUGGGGGAGCUGAUGGCGCUGCUAGUUUGGGAAGGGAGAGGGCGGAGGAGUGAGUUCCACGGUGACCCAAAGCUCGGCGGCGCUAAUGGAGGAGGCGGCGAGGUCCUGUACGCGCGCGAGGAGGUCCGGGGCGCCCUUUUAUAAGCAAUUGAGGUGGGGAAAAGGAGCACGGCGAGCAGGGCUUCAGUUUGCGGGUGCUACGGGGGGAGAAGAACCACAGAGGCUCGGCGGCGACAGAGGCGCCGGCGGGCGGCGCUGGCAACGCGCGGACGCCGUGGCGCGCGGGUAAGGCGCCAACAGGGGGGGGGGGGGGCUAGAGCGGUGGAAUGGCAUUGAGGCGACGCGUGGACGAGGGGAGGAACAGGAGGUGGGCGCCGGCGACCAAGGGCGGGUCACUGCGCCGGCGGCAGAGGCGCCAGGAGCAGAGCAGAGGAGGCAGGGGCGCCAGGAAGAAGAAGGGAUAAGAACUGAGCCGGGGACUGAUUUGCAAUAUCAGAGAAAAGCAGGGACUUCACUGUAAAGAACUUGCAACUUUUAAACCAGUGCUCAAAUGGAGAUGAUCCAAAAAGCAAAAGUGUAUGGUUUUUCAAACUCUACAACUUCUCUUUAAGGUUCAUCUGCAGUUGAGCAACAGUUUUGAAGAUAUUAUAAACUUAGUAAUACUUUCACUUUUUAUGUAAGUCCUAUGGAUAAAAUUACUUUUACAUGUAUACCCAAGGGUAAUUUCACAUAUUUUUGCAACUUAACCACAGAUACCAUCUUUUGCACAACAACCCUCAUACUUUUAAAUUUUUCCCUCUAUUUCCACCCAUUUUGCAUAAAAGGACCUCUAGUUAAAAUUAAUUACAUAAAUAUCACUUUUUCCAUAACAUUGCACAUAUUAACACACCUUUUGCCAUACUUUGAACAUAAAAGCAUACCAAAACUCUAGGGCGUGACCAAACUAAUUACCUGAGUGUCACAGCCUCCCCUCCUAAAAAGAAUCUCAUCCCGAGAUUCCGGAAUAGAAUGGAAUAGAUUGAUCAAUUUCGAGGGUUGGCUUGGAAGAAGUCAGGAAAGUUAUGCUGAAGAUAGGAUUCGGUUUCCCAUGUUGCUUCUUCUUCCGUAUGAUGGUCCCAUUGAAUCUUGUACAUUCUGACGGUCUUUCUUCUGGUGCUUCUUUCUUUAGUGUCUAGUAUCCUGAUCGGAUGUUCAAUAUAGGUCAGAUCUGGUUCGAUUUCGAUAGCUUGGGAUUCGAUGAUUUCGGUAGGGAUCUUAACACACUUUUUGAGUUGGGAUACAAGGAAGAUGUUAUGAACGGCCACUAAUUGAGGAGGAAGUUGAAGACGGUAAGCUACGGGUCCACAGACUUCAAGGACUUCAAAGGGCCCAAUGUAUCGAGGAGCAAGUUUCCCUUUUACACCGAACCUUUGAAUCCCUCGGAUAGGAGAGACUCAAAGAUAUACGAAGUCUCCAACUUGAAACCGUAAUGGGCUUCUCCGUAUAUCAGCGUAGCUUUUCUGUCGAGAUUGUGCCGUUUUGAGAUUUGCCUGUAUAAUUCUUAUUUUCCCUUCUACCUCACUGACAAGGUCGAGUCCAAAGACUUUACGCUCACCGGUUUGUGACCAAUUCAACGGAGUUCUACAACGGCGACCGUAUAAUGCUUCAAAUGGGGCCAUUCUAAUGCUUGUCUGAUAGCUGUUAUUAUAAGAAAAUUCUGCCAGUGAUAAGCAUUGGUCCCAAUUCUUGCCGUACUGGAGAACACAGGCUCUAAGCAUGUCUUCUAGAAUUUGAUUUACCCGUUCAGUUUGUCCAUCCGUUUGGGGAUGAUACGCAGAACUUCGGAUUAACUUAGUCCCAAGGGCAUUUUGGAGUUGUUCCCAAAACCUACAAACGAAUUGUGUUCCGCGAUCGGAGAUGAUCGUCUUGGGUAUACCAUGAAGGCGAACUAUUUGAUCCAAGUAAAUCUCAGCAUACUUCUUGGCAUUAGACGUAGUGUGUACAGGAAGGAAAUGUGCCGUUUUGGUUAAUCGAUCAACGAUUACCCAAAUAGAGUCAUGUCUCCGAGAAGUAUUAGGUAGUCCAACAAUAAAAUCCAUACUAAUAUCUUCCCAUUUCCAAGAGGGAAUAGUUAAGGGUUGGAGGGUACCGGCAGUCUUCAGAUGACUGGCUUUGACUCUUUGGCAGAUAUCACAUUCUGAGACAUACUUGGCAAUUUCUCGUCUCAUACGGGUCCACCAAAAGCUUUAUUUCAGAUCUUGAUACAUUUUUGUACUACCCGGAUGUAUAGAAAAUUUGGAUAGGUGGGCUUCAUCCAUGAUUCGCUUCCGGAGCUUAUGGUCCUUGGGUACCACAAGACGUUUGUUGAACCACAAAAUUCCCUCGGAAUCCACCUGGAAACAUUUGUACUUUUUCUCUCCCUGCAUUAGCUUCUGCUUAAUGAUUCCAACUCCCUCACUACGCUGCUGAGCUAGAACAAUGUCAUUCCUAAGCGUGGCUUCAACCAAGAGAUGGUUUAAGUCAUCUUGGGGAAUGAUUUCUAGAUUAAGCUUUCCCAUUUCCCAACAAAGAGUUUUGUUGAAAGCUUCAACAGAUAGGCAGGAACAAUGUGCCUUGCGACUGAGGGCAUCGGCAACAACAUUAGCCUUGCCAGGAUGAUAGUGUACCUCUAAGUCAUAAUCCUUGAUUAGUUCUAGCCAGCGUCUUUGCCUCAUAUUCAAAUCUGCUUGGGUAAAGAUAUAUUUGAGGCUUUUAUGAUCAGUGUAGAUAUGACAUUUUGUACUCAUUAAAUGAUGUCUCCAAAUUUUCAAGGCAUGGAUGACAGCUGCUAGUUUGAGGUCAUGGGUAGGAUAAUUUUGUUCAUGAACUCUGAGUGCCCGUGAUGCAUAUGCAAUUACUCGGUGAUUCUGCAUAAGGACACAACCAAGACCAGUUCCAGAUGCAUCGCAAUAGAUGUCAAAGGGUUGUGACACAUCGGGUUGAGCCAAGACUGGGGCAGUGGUAAGACGGUCUCUGAGAAUAUAGAAAGCAUCAUUACAUUUUUUAUCCCAAGAGAAUUUGACACCUUUCUUUAAUAACUCGGUCAUAGGUUUGGCUAUUCUGGAGAAAUCUGGAAUAAACCGAUGAUAGUAGCCUGCCAAACUAAGGAAACUACGGAUCUGAUGGACUGAGGUUGGGGGUUUCCAAUCCAUCACCUCCUGUACUUUACUGGGAUCGAUGGAUAUUCCGUCACUAGAAAUGGUAUGGCCCAGGAAUUUUACGGUAUCCAACCAAAAUUCACACUUGGAGAAUUUGGCGUAUAAGUGGUGGUCUCUUAAUCGUUGAAGGAUGACAUGGAGAUGCUUGGCAUGAUCUUCUAGAGUUUUAGAAUAGAUCAAAAUGUCAUCAAUAAAGACCACAACAAACUUGUCGAGUUCUUGCAUGAAGACAGAAUUCAUGAGGUACAUAAAAUAGGCUGGAGCAUUAGUGAGACCAAACGACAUGACAAGAUAUUCAUACAGACCAUACCGAGUGGAGAAAGCGGUUUUUGGAACAUCACUGGGCCGAAUCUUAAUUUGAUGAUAACCAGAACAAAGAUCAAUCUUAGAGAAUACCUUAGCUCCGGCUAGUUGAUCAAACAGAAUGUCAAUGCGGGGUAAGGGAUACUUAUUUUUGAUAGUCACCGCAUUGAGAGGAUGAUAAUCCACACAUAGCCUUAAGCUAUUAUCUUUCUUUUUCACAAACAAAGCUGGACAACCCCAUGGUGAUGCACUUGGACGAAUAAAACCUUUAUCCAAGAGGUCCUGGAGUUGAAUUUUCAAUUCAGCCAACUCAUUAGGAGGCAUGUGAUAGGACUUCUUGGAGAUAGGGGCUAUGCCAGGUUGGAGUUCUAUGAUGAACUCGAUAUCCCUGUCUGGAGGCAUUCCAGGUAAGUCAUCCGAAAAAACAUCUGGGUAUUCACAGAUGACUGGAAUAUCCUCUAGUUUGACCCCAGACGUAGCAUAGGUGUAAGAGUUGAAGGACUUUGGUGGUGGAAGAUAAAGAAUGGUAGGUUCAUUUUCCGGUGAACCUAUUUCCACGGUUCGGAAAGGGAUAUCUAUAGAUACAUGGUACUGGGUCAUCCAAUUCAUUCCUAAAAGAACAUCCAUCCCUUUUAGGCCUAGUAAUAGUAAAUCUGACUUUAUCAGGGUAUUGCCCAUUUGAAUUGGUACACCCCUACAGACGUGAUUUGAAGAGAUGCUACCACCAGGAGUUGUUAUCACAUAUAUCCCAUUAACAGGACAAAUUUCCAAGCCUAUCUUAGUCCCAAAUUUUGUAUUGAUAAAACUAUGGGUGGCACCAGUAUCAAAAAGAACAGUAACGGGAUAAUGGUUGAUAGAAAAUGUACCCGUCAUUAUCGGUGUCCCCUCAGGAAGUUCGGAGAGCGUAGUAAGAUUCACCCUCCCUUGACGGACCUGCACCACUUGUCUCCUACCCUUCCCCUGGUGGUUGGGAUUAGAUACCUGCCCUUGGAAAGAUUUCCUAGGUUGAGGGCAGUCCUUGAUGAAGUGGGACGGGCUUCCACAGUUGAAACAACGAUAAUUGCUGUUUCCAGGAGUAGUUGGUGGAAAGCUCGGCCGUGGACCUUGUCGUGGCGGCUGUCGAUUUUGCGGCAGCGGUGGUUGGUUGAAUUGUGCCUGUUGUGGAGGUCGAGCUACCCAUCUGCCAGGCAAAUUAUUUCAAGACGGAGCUCGAGGGGUGUUGCUCGGGACCAACCGAUACCUUGGUGGCUGUGAAGUUAUAGGCCCCGUGGGUGCUUUCCGUUUCUUUUCCGCUCUGUGGGCGGCAAUGCAAUCCUCUUGAGUAAUGGCCAUAUUGACCAACUCAUUGUAAUUGUCGGCCUUCACUAAAUUCAGCCAUUCCUUCAGUUUAGUGUUUAGGCCUCGGCGAAAACGAUCACAUUUGCGGGCAUCGGUGUCCGCAUGAGACCCUGCAUACUGGCACAGAUGAUUGAAAACCUGUGCAUACUGUGUAACAGUGCGGGUACCUUGGGUCAGACUCAAAAAUUCAUUGAGCUUCCGCUCAAUGAGUCCUGCUGGUAUAUGAUGUGCUCGGAAUGCAGUCCGAAAUUCAUCCCAGGUGACGACGUGAUCAGCGGGUUGCAUCGCAUAAAGCUGGUCCCACCAAAGACGGGCAAUGCCUCGGAGUUGCUGGGCUGCGAAGAGCACCUUGUUCUCCUCUGAACAUGGAGCUGGUAGUAAGGCGAACUUAGACUCAAUAGUUCGCAACCAGGCGUCUGCGUCCAAAGGCUCAUCGGCCUUAUGGAAUAAGGGAGGUUGGGUGCUGAGAAAGUCCUGAUAACUGGCCGACAAAGGUUCACCUUGGCCUCGAGGUUGCUGCUGGAAGUGGCCCAUUUGAGCUUGCACAAGUUGAUUUAGAAGCUCAGUUUGUCGGGCCAUAACCUCGGCCAAGUUUGGAGGUGGCGGUGGUGGUUGCUAAGAACUACCAGGCAGACCUGCCCGGAAUCCUUCCGGGGUUCCUCGAGUAGCUCCAACCAUCUGAAAUAAAGGAGACAUCCAUUAUCAACCAUAAUCUUACUCCAGUUUCAGAUAAUAUGCAAUUACCAAACGGAAAUGUAAUGCAUAUGCUCCAUUCAAUCCACUUAUACAGAUACACAGAUAUUGAACAAGAUAACCAAAGCAUAGGAUUUAGAUUAUUAUACAGAUACUGAUAUCCUUACAUCUCGUAUCAACACACUCAAACUAUUACAAACCUUUGCCUAAAAAUAUAUGCCACACAUACAACAAGUGGCUUUAUAUCUAGUUAAUCUACACACUACUUAUGUUACAUCUUAUACACUAGCUACAUCUAAACCAUCACCCAUUCAGCCCUGCUAAAAGUCAUCAAAAUUUCCUACUGAUGACUGACUUCCAGAAGAGGAAUGGUAGGGACUGACGACAGGAUCCCCAUGCUCAGAAUCAAGUUCGGAGACCCCUUCAAUCUCCUCGGGAUCUUCCUCUUCAGCCUCAGGUACUGCCGGUGCAACGGGAGGAAUCGGGGGCUGCUGCAAUUCCUCAAUCUGAGCUUGAGCAUCGUCAACCGCAAGGAUCAGAUCCUGGACUUGUGUCUGCAGAAAUUCAAUGACAAUAUCCCGCUGAGUGAUUAUAUGAUCACUCUCGUUGAUCUGAUCUUCCCGAUGGUGAAUAGUCUCGUUUUGAGUAGCAAUAAUCCCAUCCUUCUCAAUCACCACAGCUCGAAGUUGAUCCACCUGGGUAAUAUGUCUAGCAGCUUCCCCGUGGAGACUUCGCGCAGCAUUAAUCAGAUGGCCUAUCUCACGGCGUAGUAAUGAGUGAUAGUGGUAUUGCACGCCCGUGAAACGCCUCACCCCUUGCAGAACUUCUUUUGGUGAACCUUCCAGUCUAUGACUCUCAGGAAUUACCCUGAGGUCCCAUUCUGCUUCACCAGGAUCUGUUGUAGCAAACAAACCAAUAGGUUGUCCUAUAACUUCCUCGGGGUGUUGGCUGCAAAAGGCAUAGAUGGCUUCUAGGGCCGCUGCUUCGAUAGUAUCCACAAUUCGGUAGCCUAUCAUGCUGAUCUCAAUAGGCUGCCAUUGUGAACGAAAAGGAUGCUGAGGGAUAGUCAUCCUGACAUGAGCUCUAUGGAUUCCUUCUUCCAAAUGUUCGACAGCAACAUACUGAGGAGGUUCUGUAUAGUGGAAGGUCUGCAAAGACUCCCAAAGUAAACGGGGAAAACCCUCCCAAUGAAGAGCAUUAGUGUGGAGGUGCCCUUCCGGAUCCCAGAAAGCGUUAGAAGGUACUGCCAUCUACGACAAACAUGCAAAUGGUGAAACUUUUUAUCUUGUUAAGAGAGUACAAGAUAAACAGAACAAGAUAGUCAAUUCUGAUGACAGUAAGGACUGAGAAUUAGAUGAAAACCUAGAAUUCUAUAUAGGAUACCCAACCUAAUACUAUCAUUAGAACUCCAUUAGCCCAUUCCAAAGACAAACCACAUAUUCUUCAUACAUGAAAAUCUUUUUGUUAACAAAUUAUGCAUGCACGCACUACUCGUCCUCACAACCAAAGCAACUGCCGAAUAUGCUCGGACUUACAUAGUUAAUUCCGGUGGCAUAACCAUACGUCUCUCGCUAUGUAUAACUAUUCGAUAAACCCUACGCAUCCUAAUAGCGUAAUCGUGGUUAGUGUACCUGCAGAAAA
rnacentral:lncRNA from 1 species